GGGUCUAACUUUCUGGUUGAUAGAUUAAAAAAAUGUAAGGUCUAACUUUCUGUUAUUUUUAAGUUUUAUUUGGAUAUAGAUAUUAUUUAAAUUUAUGCUGGUUUAUAAAGCAAUUUUAAGUUUCAUAUGUCAGAAAGAUACAACUCUAGAAAGAAGAUACAUAUGCUGAUCCUAUGGAAGUUCUGACUUUUCUAGCAGCAUAUUAGGAAUUUAUCACCAAAGGAUCCCAUUAAACUUCUUUUUUGAAGACCAUAGGAAACUAUGUUUCAGUUAUAAAAGUUGGGUAGCACGGCAACUUCCAAACUUUCAUAUAGGUUGGCAAUAGUGUACAAAAUCAAAUUAAAACAUCAAGAUUCAUGCAUUGUGAGACAAAAUGGUGAGAUUUGCUCCAGUUUUGACUGUGCAAAAUAUUUUUAUGUGUGGUUAUAGCAAGGCCUAUAAUCUUGGUUUGGUUCCAAUCGUUGUUGGACCAGUGCAGACUGGUGUAGGUAAUUGAUAUGGGCAGUACUCGGUAUGAGUCAUCAUCACCAAACCAAGAGAGAAUGAGAGAAAAAGAGGAGGAGAAGAAUAGAAGGUGCAAAAGGGCUGGUGACAGGAGGAGAAUAUGUAGGAGGAGGUAGAGGAUGAGAAAGAGGAGAAGUGGAGGAGGAGGUGGUGGUGGUGGCGCUGGAGGAGGAUGCAAACUAGGUGCUGAGGAUGUGAAGACACUUAUGAGGAGGCAACGACGAUAUUAUAGCAUGGUGGAGUAGACCGUGAUGGUGGCAAUAUGGUAGUAAAGAGGAGGAGGGAGAGAGCUGCAUGAAAGAGAGAAGAAAGGGGGGGAGAGAGAGAGAGAGAGAGAGAGAGUAAAAAAAAGAAAAAAAAUGAGGGCUUCCAAAGCGUUCCAAAUAAAUGACAUGGGUAUUGGACGACAAACUUACUGCCUGGUACAUCCAUUUGUAACUAGUGAAGCCAAGCAGUAUGCAAAUAAGGUAAGCAUACCAGGCAUUAAGCCAUGUUUGAACUCAAGCCAUGUGAAAACUGGCAGUCCUGUUCGUGGUCGGAGAUCCCUACUGAUUGGUAUGACUUUUUUUUUUUUUAACUUUGGGCUAUAGUGCUUCAUCCAUUUUCUGUUGCAGGUUCUCUCUUAAGACAACCUAGAUCUAUUCAGGUUAAAGAAAAUUUUGAUAUUCUAAUCACCUGGUCGUUGUUGCAUGAUAGAGAAAACUUUGAGAUUUUUCAGUAUUUUAUGUGUUAUAGUUGUUAGUAUGAACUGUAAUAAUUAUAUUUUGAAUGCUUAUAUUUGUAUGUAUGGAUUGUUGGAUCAGAUUAUCUAUGGAUGAAUUGGAUUGGUCUUUUAUUAUUUAAUAAACAAACUAAGCCUUUGUACUGUGGAAUUUACUUGAGUCAUGAUGACUUAUGUGCAGUGAUGAUCAUCCCCAGAACAUUCUUACGUCAAUGCAAACCAUCAUGAUGCUCAUUUUAGAUGAGAGUGAGGAUAUACAGGAAAAUCUUAUAACCACCAUACUCUCAGCUUUGGGCCAUAAAAGAAAUGUGAGCUUAUUCUACUUGAUUUUUCCUUUUGUUUCUGAUAUGUGAUACCCUUUACAUCUUCUUUAAAGAUUGGUUUGUAAUUUGUGGUACUAGGUGUGUUCUAUGGCUGCACGGAGGCUUGCUAUGAAUGUUAUAGAACAUUGUGCAGGAAAACUUGAACCAUAUAUAAAGCAGCUUCUUGUGUCUUCAUUGUCAGGCGAUAACAGUUAUUUGAAUUGUUCUGUUGAUCAUCAUGAAGUCAUCUUUGAUAUAUAUCAGUGUGCACCCGAAAUUCUUUCGGGGAUAAUUCCUUAUAUAACGGGCGAGUUGUUGGUAUGUUUCCAUAAUCUUGACAAACAUGUUUGCUAAUUAUCCCCAUAAUUAUCUUUUCUUUUGAGAAAUGUCACUUUUAUGUAACAUUUGUUAAUUAAUAUCAUAAUGUGAGUAUUCUCUAAUCUUCACACUAGUAUGCUAUUUGCGGGCUUCUGUUGACUUUAUCAGACUCAUAUAACUUCUAUUCAUGCUGUUUAUUAUGAGAACAAGUUUUGGUGCUAUUAGUAAGAUUAGUCUUUAUGAUGACUAAAGUUUGAGUCACAAGAAUAAAUUUUCUAUUUGCAGGGAUUGGAUUGCGUGCAUUGAUUCUCCCAGAUUUUAGUGGUGUUAGCCUCUUGCAUCAGACUGCCUUUUUUUCUGUUCCAUACUACUUAUUCUGACUACUGAGUUUUUCUCACAUUCACUUAUUGAGUUCUCAAGCUUCUGUCUGGUGUUUGAUGUACUAAACUUUCUCUUACCUUUUUGCAUGUGCAUGUGUUGGACCAUUGUCUAGAUUCUUUCUGUUGCUACCAAACAAGGUCUGAAAGACAGGAUUUAGGUCCUAAAUUGGCGAUGAACCUUUUGAUCAGUUGAGUUCAAUAAAAUUCACCUGAACCCAUCAGAACAAUCCACAUUUUAAUGGAAUUGAUGUAGUAUUUUAGUGGUACUUGAAUGAUCCCCAUCUUGAUGCAUGUUAGCCCAUGUGAAGGAGAACAUGUUGUUGCUUUGAUGCCUGUUAAAGGAACACUGAAGUAACCUAUUUGUCCAAUAACUUAUGUGGAAUAGGUUUUCAUGUUAUGACUUGAGAUGUUCAAACCUGUAUUAUUGAUAACAUUCUAAUCAGAGCAUAUAUAUUGAUCCAACUCUCCAUGAUCAAGGUGCCACACAUAUCAUAUAAGAAUUUUGUACUAGUAUUAGUGCUUUGCAACUAUUAGGAAGCUUGAUCAAAUCUACAGAUCUUUCUUUCAAUUUUGGUAUAUUACCACAGUUGGCUUAUUUUUGCUGGGAGAAUGUGUAGAUGAUGAUAAAACUUUUUUCACAACUACCAGAGAUUAUAUUUGUACAUUCAAUAUACAGAAAUCUUCAUUUUUUUUUUUGAAUAAAAAGCAACUCGAUAAAGCUUUAACUUCUCAAAACAAGAUUGAUGGUCGAAGGCCAGCUACAUCACAAAAAAAAUGGAGAAGCACUCGUUCUCCCAAAAUUUGCUGCCUUGUCAGCUACCCAAUUGCAGUCCCUGGGAAAGUAUUCAAAGCUGUGAACAUUAAGCUUACAGGAAAGGGAAGCAAUUUCUCUAAGAAAACUCUGAAGAUAUCAGGGAACCAGAGCAGUUCCCUGGACAAAAUUAAGCAGAUCCUGUGAAUCCAUGCAAAUGAGAAGAUUGGUAAGGAAGAGAACCUCUGCCUUCCAUAAGCUAGAAACCAAGGCUAUGGUUUCUGCCAUUAAAGAAUUAUCAGCUGCACAUGGACCGCCUCCACAUCCUACUGGUGUCCUGUCCUUCCGCCACAUAUCUGUACCCCCCCUGCAAAGAAGGUAAAAAAGAACCAUCAGUUUCUAUAAUGAAAGAGUAGGGCUGCUGGACUGAGGCUGGUUCCUGUCUUGGAGUCGGGGGCCAUCCUUAGGCUGCUGCCUCAAGGCAAAGUAAUCGUGAGCAUACAACCAGACCUUAUGAACCAGGGAGCUAGGUCUAGUCCAGUGGUUGCGAAACUUGGCAUUAUUCUGGUUGCUCCAUAGGAACCAAAAACCAUUCGCAAUAACCGCAGAAACCCAUUUACCAAAUUCCUUGUCAAAAGCGUGGCUCUCAUUGAGCCAGUCCCCUUGCAGCGAGGAAUUCAUGAACCUAAAAGAAAUCCCAAGCUGCUGUUGAAGCCCCAUAACUCCACAGAAAAAUGGCAUUUCAGGAAUAUGUGUUUCAUAGAAUCCGAAUAGAGAUGGCAGCAAUGACAUUCAUCUACUUGACAAUUAAGAAUACCAGAGAUCCAAUGUGAAGUAGGGAGACGAAGCCAAGAAAACUUCCACAGAAACAAUUUAAUCCUGGGAGCAACCUUCAAGAAAUCUUUAAAUUAAUCAUGUAUAAAGGAGACUACAUGUUCAUCAUGGUACAUAGAGGGACUAGCCUAUCCUUCUGACAUUUGUUCAUUUUUUUUAUGAAUAAAUUACGUGCAUCCAUGUCUUUAAUAUUUGGGUUGGCUACAUGGAUCUUUUCCCAUCAUUGAGCUAUGUGAUAAAGCAAUAUCCUUAUGCUUUGGUAAACAAUGCCUAACAAGGAAAUGCAUUAUGUUAGGGCAUAAAGUUAAUCUGCAUGUUUGCCAAAGAUUUAAUUUAGCAUGACAGUUUUUACAGUGUGACAGUCCAAAUUGAUUUCAUCUUUCCAUCUUUCCAUCUUUAUUUAUUGUUUUAAUAUUGUUAAAUUGGUCGCUAUGUUCAAAUCUUAUCUCUUUCUCCUUUUGUGCCAAGAGAUUUGAGUUUGUGUGGUCCUUAUUUUGUUUUUCUUUGUUAAUCAUAUCCUUUGAAGAUUGUCACCCUUGCUUUAUUGUUUAUGAAGUUAUUUUGCUCGCUUUUGAAGCAUCAAACUUAUGACUGAAAACAGAAAAGUUUGGUGCAUAUAUUUUGUGGAAAAAUACGUUAUUUGCACAAUUUUAUUAUGUGCUGAGAGCCUUAGAUUAUAUAUCAAUUCCAUCAUCUGAUUUCAACUUACUAUAGUUAUAUCUGACUUUAGAGCUUUCUUAGAGAUCUUAGAUGUAUUGUUUAUUAGUGUUUAAUUCUUGAACUUUGACAUUCUGUAGACAGACAAGUUGGAUAUUCGGCUUAAAGCAGUUCAACUACUUGGUGACCUAUUUUCUUUACCCGAAGUGCCUAUCUCUGAAGCUUUUCACUCGGUCUUCCUAGAGUUCUUAAAGAGAUUGACUGACAGAUUAGUGGAAGUCCGCUUAUCAGUGAUUGAACACUUGAAGAAUUGCCUAAUCUCCAACCCUUCCCGACCUGAAGCUGCUCAGAUUAUAGGUAUGAUGCCACUUGCCAACAUCUUUUGAUAAUAUAAUUUAGUAUUUUUUGGAACGCGUGAUGAUAUGUAUUACGAUGUUCAUCUUCCAGAGGCACUUUCUGAUCGAGUGUUGGACUAUGAUGAAAAUGUUCGCAAAAGAGUUGUUGCUGCAGUUUAUGAUGUAGCUUGCCAUUCAUUAAAAGCCAUUCCACCUGAGACUGCUAGUCUAGUGGCAGAGCGUGUCCGAGACAAAUCUGUCUGUCUUCCUGCUCCUGUUACAUCUGUCUGCUCAUUUACUUUUUAAUUGAUUUACUGACCUGUAAUUUCUUUCUUAAAUUUAUUAGUUGACUGUUAAGAAAUAUACCUUGGAGAGGCUAGUUGAUCUGCAUCGACUCUAUUGCUUGAAGAGCUCAGAUGGUUCAACAAACAUUGAUGAUUGUAAGUGGAUACCUGGGAAAUUAUUGAGAUGUUUAUAUGACCGCGAUUUUAGGUAAGGAAAGUGGGAACUUAUUCAAAGUAUUAAUGGUUUUCACUGAAAUAAGUGACAUUUAACUUGCAUAGUUUUUUUUAAAAAUUUUCUCUUGUAUAUUAAUCAGCAAUUGCUUAAUCAUACUUUGCAUGCAUGUUCUAUAGGUAAAUUUUGUAACACUGACAUGGAUACUAAAACUGAAUUAUGAUGAUUUCAUAACCGUCAAACCUUCAUGAACUACAAAAAAUCAGCAAUUUGUGGCACUUUAGAUAUUUCCCUCCUCUUUUCUGACUUUCCGAAGUGUACUCUAGGUUUCCUCUUUUCCGGAUCAUGCCUAUGGGUAUAGCAUCUUGAUUUUGACAUCAAGAGACUACAUAAGUGCAAGUUUUUAUUAUUAUUAUUUUGAAGUACAACUUUUCAACUGUAGUAACAUCAGCGUUUAGGUCCUGCUAUUGCUUAUGUAUAUUCUCAGAACAAUACAAUAUGUUUUAUACUGCAGAAUUUUGUCUUCUCGUGUGUGCAAGUUCAAUGAAUUCCAGAUGCAUCUUUGUGCCCCAAGUAUUACUUACUAUUUAACCAUUUGAGCUUUCAGUAAUUGCUAAAAGCACUUCAUUGGGAGGAUAAUUUUCUGCUUUUGGCUUCAGUGAAUUGGACUGGUUUGUUUUAAUGUGAUGUUCAAUGUCUCGAAAUUGCUUGGAUUGGUCCGAUGCAUUCAUUUUUGUUGUCUUAAAAAUGGGAAACUUUGUUGCAUAUCAAGAUGAUUCUGCUUCCAAACAUUUUGGUAGGCUAACUUUGACUCCAAAAUGUUCUGAUAAAAUAUGCAAGUCUUAAAAAUGGGAAACCUUGUUGCAUAUCAAGAUGAUUCUGCUUCCAAACAUUUUGGUAGGCUAACUUGACUCCAAAAUGUUCUGAUAAAAUAUGCAAGUCUUAGGUGUUUGUUUUAGUUAUUUUUGUUGGAUCAAUUUUUACAGAUUAAGAAAAUCACAAUUUUGGUUGAGAAUUUCUCAUGUUCUUCGGGCUUUGCAACUUCUUCAUACAAGAACUUUUGAUAUCAUCAAAAGUAUGCUGAUUGGUAGACAUAAUAAGAUUCUAAAAAAUUACCUUAAAGAGGUCCUUAAAUAACAAAGAUGUGAUAUAUUAAUGGUUUCUGUGAAUGGAAAUAGUUAUACUUUAAAGAAGUUUUCUGGUUAUUCUUAUUUAUGCUUCAAUAUCAGCUAUCUGCAUUUGAUUAAAUUAAAAAAAUCAUAAAUUGAUAUUUGAUUAAGAUAUCGUUUUGUUAGUCACAAUUUUACCAGCUGCUUGUUUUGUGGUGAACUUGUUAUUGUAGUUAACAAAUCCAACACAAUCUACUAAGAGUAAGAUGCUUCAGCAACUAUCUUGUUAGGUGAUCACCAAGAAAAAAACUUGUUUGACUUAAAUUAAACAAAAAAUUCAUAGUCUUUAAAUUAGUUCAAAAUUUGAAUUUUUUUAUAGGUUGUCACUUGAUUCCUAGUUUUUCUGGUGUUGGUGUAACUCAUAUUGUUGCAGCUAAGUAUGAGCCUUGGUUCAAUGACAAGGUUGCUUGUUUGCAAUAUGCAUGAUCAGGCUUCACCCUUCAUAUGAUUGCACCUAACCAACAAAUUUGGCACCAAAAUUACAAAGCUCAAAGGUUGUCGGAUUAUUAUUUUAUUAUUAUAUUUUCUUCCAUGGACAUUUGUAGCAUUUUAAUGAUCAAUUUACCCCUCAAACGAUAUGUUUUGUUCACUUGCAAGAAAGUAUAUGUGACUGACCUGAAAGAUUCACCAUUAUUUUAGUCUUUGAUGAUAUAUUUGGAGGUAUAUAAUUAUUCAUCUACAACAGAGGUUAAAAAGUGAUUGAUACUUUUCUCUUGAGCUUUUAAGGUUCGUGGAAAACACUGCCUUGACUUGCUGAUAUGGAAUGUACCUAUUUGUAGAAAGAGUGGCAUAUCAAUUUUCACAUAUUCAUUCUUUUGCUUUCUUAUCGGGUUGAUUGCAUGUGCAUUUGAGGGUCUGGGAUUAGUGUUUUUUUAUUAUGCAAUGGACAAUGCCUUGGUCUUGAGAGAGAUUGUAAGGUUUUACACAACAUUUUGCAGGUCAGAGGUGAUUGAACUUAUCCUUUGUGGAUCUUUGUUCCCUCCUGAAUUCUCUGUCAAAGAUAGGGUGAAACAUUGGGUUACAAUUUUCUCAGUAUUUGAUAAAUUUGAGGUUAAAGCUCUUGAGCAGAUUCUUGCACAAAAACAAAGGUUUGCAGAAGAUUCAAUAUUGUAGCUACAGGAUCUUCUCUCUAUUCAGAUAGGAGUAUCUAGUUUGUGAUAGACUGUCCACGGAUUUUCAGGUGAUUUCCUCUUCGAUUGCAGGUUACAGCAAGAAAUGCAAAAGUAUCUGUCUCUUAGACAGGCAUACCAGGUUUGCAUAUAGUGGAUAUUAAGAGUAGUAUUUUCUUGAUUUCAUGAUUCUAUUGUGAAUCAAUCUUGCUAAAAUGCAGGAAGAUGCCACUGAAAUCCAUAAAAGAACUUUUGGCUGCUUCAAGAGCAUGUCUCGCUUGUUCAAUGAUCCUGUGAAGGCUGAGGAGAAUUUUCAGUUUCUCAAUCAACUAAAAGAUGCCAAUAUUUGGAAAAUGUUGACAACACUACUUGAUCCAUCCACUAGUCUACACCAAGCAUGGUCAUGUCGGGUAGUUAUCAUUCAAAUUACUUACUUCAUUCAAAUACAUACUUCUUUCGCUGUAAGCUUUGAAAAAGUUAUAAUAUUGUUGGAUACUCCACAAUGCUGAAAUAAUUAGAAGCUAGAAUUUGUUGCAUAUUUUAACUCAAUUAACUACCCUGAAAUCGUUGUGCAGCAUUUCAUUUUCAAGUCAGCCAAGUCUGACAAUUAAUUUUAGGGGAAACUAAUUUAAGUGUUUAAUUAUUUAUGCAGGAAGACUUGCUUAGGAUCCUUGGGGAGAAGCAUCCACUUUUUGAUUUUAUGGUAACACUUUCUUUGAAGUGCUCAUACUUACUCUUCAACAAAGAUUACGUCAAGGAGAUAAUAUCAGAAGCUGAUGCCCGACAAUCUGUUGGAGAUGUGAAACUUAUUUCUUCGUGCAUGAACCUACUUACGGUACAAUAUACUUUAACAUUCUAUAUAUUUCAGGUUCAAAUGUUAUGGGUUAUAUAAAUAGUUGAAUUGGAGUAUUGAUUUAUUUGAAGCUUAUGCAACAAGGACAUCCACAAUUCCACAUCUAUGAAGAUGAAUGCUAAAUAUCCUUAUGUUAGCUUUAUCUUUUUGAUGGUAUUUAGAUUCACAAAAUUAAGUGGUUAUUUGAAGUUGGGUUGCUGAGGAAAAUGUCCCUUUCUGGCUUAUUACCUUAAUCCAAUUAAUGAUGCUUAAAAUUAUUUUAAUUCUUUUAUGUUAGAACUUUGGCUUAUUUUUAGAUUAGACUCUCCUUUGUACCUUUUGGUCUUACUGUAACUAUGUUAUGUUUAGAGAAAAAAAAAAGAAAAUCGUGUCUCUUUCUGAAAAAUAUUUUUUUUGUAACAAAAUUAUGUUGGGCUUCAGACUUUGUAGAUCUUUGAUUUUCAAAUUAUAAAUUUGAAUAUUUUAGGUUAUUGCAAGCUACUCUCCAUUGCUUUUGUCUGGGUGUGAAGAAGAUCUUGUUUGUCUUCUGAAAGGGGACAAUGAAUUAAUUAAAGAAGGUAUUGCUCAUGUUUUGGCAAAGGCUGGUGGGACCAUUCGUGAACAACUGAUGUUGACAUCAAGGUAAAAGUGGUUAUCUAUAUGUUACCAAAUUUACAAUAUUACCUGUGGCCUUUUUCCUUUUUUUUGGAUUUUACCACUUUAACUAUUUGACUACUUGGAAACUGCAUUUUUAUAUCCAUUUUUUUGUUAUUUAUCCUACUGCAGCUCAAUUGAACUACUUUUAGAAAGGCUUUGUCUAGAGGGUACCAGGAAGCAGGCUAAAUAUGCUGUACAGGCCAUUGCAGCAAUAACUAAAGAUGAUGGUCUCAAAUCACUCUCUGUUCUAUACAAGGUUGCAUUGGUUUACUUCAUGGAAACUUCUUUUGUGAUGGCAGCUAAACUGAAUGAACUUUCUGAUUGACUUCUCAGAGGCUUGUGGAUACGCUGGAGGAUAAAACACACCUGCCAGCCAUCUUGCAGUCUCUCGGAUGUAUAGCGCAGACUGCUCUGCCAAUUUUUGAAACUCGAGAGGAUGAAAUUAUAGAGUUUAUAACGAGUAAAAUCUUGCACGACAGUAAUGUAUGGCUUUCUGAUCCAAAUAAAUUUUGCAUUGUCCUCUUUGCCAUAGUUUCAAAUAUUGGUCAAUAAAGUACGUAUCAACUGCUUAUCACCAGUCUGACCAUGCACCAUCAUUGGACCAUAUGGUCUGGCAUGGUUGAUAUUUUUUUUUUACUUUUUCUUUUUGGUGAUACUGGGUAAUAUGGGUCAGUGUACCACCUGGUGUACUAGUACCACACCGGUCAGGUAGAUUAAUGAAACCGGUAUGGGAUAAGUUGUAAAAACUUGCUCUAUGCUUUAUAAUUUCUGGAUGAUGUAAAAGUUGUUUGUCUAAUGUUUCUGCUUUAUUGCUGAAGGCUGAUGAAAUUUCUUUAGAUAGUACUGAAUGGAGUGAAAGGUCUGAACUUUGUUUGAUAAAGGUUAGUAAAGAAGAUUCAAUAAUGUGUAUUAGAGCACUAACAUUAAUUUAUUAGUGAAAAUCUGGUUUUUUUUUUCAUUUUAUUGUUGUUCAUUAUCCUUUUGUGUGUGUCAUGCAGAUUUUUGGCAUUAAAACAUUAGUUAAGAGCUAUUUACCUGCCAAAGAUGCCCAUUUGAGACCAGGAAUUGAAAACCUUAUGGAAAUUCUUAAAAACAUACUCUCUUAUGGGGAGAUUGCUCAGGGUAUUAGAUCAAGGUAUUGAAUAAACCUUCUGAAUAUUUAUUAUAUUUAGGCUAUUUUGAGUACUUCCAAAAAAUUAUCUGCUAAAAAAUAAUACUUCUGGCAGUGAUGUAGAUAAGGCUCAUAUGAGGCUUGCUUCAGCAAAAGCUGUUCUUCGCUUAUCAAGGCAUUGGGACCACAAGAUACCUGCUAAUGUUUUUUAUUCGACUUUAAGAAUUUCACAGGUAGGUUAUCAGUUAUGGCAAACCAACAUGCUUUUUCUACAAAAGAAAAGUAUAUACAAGCAAUUAUAUCUUUGAAAAUUUUGCAGGUAGAUUAUCAGUUAUAGUAGACACCAACAUGUGUUUUCUUUAAUAUAUAUAUGCAUAUAUGUAUGUUCAUAUGCAAUUAGGUCUUCUCAGUGCAUUAUUUUCUUUACUGAUAUUUACUUUUCAACAUUGAUUAUUUAGGAUGCUUAUCCUCAAUCUAGGAAAUUGUUCCUAAACAAAGUACAUCAGUAUAUCAAGGAACGACUAUUAGAUGCGAAGUAUGCUUGUGCCUUUUUACUUAACAUUAAUGAUUGUCACUACCCAGAGUACGAAGAGGUAAAGCUUUUGUUUCUUCUUGUGUGAUAGAUCAGUUUGUCAAUGUUCAAUACUAUAAAGUCAUUGUUCGUUAACAUAAGACCCUUGCAUCUUCCAUUGUACCAGUGUAAACAAUGUCUUCUUGAACUCAUGCAAAUAUGCCAGCAAGUUAAGAUACGUCAACUUUCUGCCCAAUCUGACAUGAAUUCGGCAACAACAUAUCCAGAAUAUAUUCUUGCAUAUGUGGUGCAUGUCCUUGCACAUGACCCUUCAUGUCCAAAUGUUGAUGAGUGCAUGGAUGUUCAGGCAUAUGAGACCACCUACUGGUAUGUAAUUUUCUUUUAAAUUUGGACUAAUCAUCCUUGAUUAUAUUUCACACAUUAAGAACUUUCAUAUUUGAGUAUAUUUGCUUUUAGGGCUGUAAUUGCAGUUUAUUUUACUUCAAUAUAUGCUCAUAUAAGGUCAUUGCACUAUCUUAUUGAACAUUUGCAUAUUUGGACCUUGUUUUUCAAAGUGAAAAGUUUCCUUCAUGCGAACAUGUCAUCACACCAUGCUGUAGAUUUUGAACCUGUAAAAAAUGACUGGUUAGUUCAAUUUUAAGACGAACUGGUUGUUCUUGUUGUGGAGAUCUCUUGAUGUGAUUGUCAUUUUCAAUUUUAAGACAGCUUCUGAAGGAAAUUAUUUCUAUCUAGUGAUCCAUUGUGCAUGAGGAAACAAUGGAUGCCCAUUUUUUUUUCUUGAUCUAGCUGGCUGUCUAUGUAGCAUUAGGAAACAAUGUCUUCUUGAUCUAUUUCUCUUAAUGCUGCAACAUUUUUUUCUUGCAUCUAGCUGGCUGUCUAUGUGUGAAAAUUUAAGAGAAAUAGAGAUGACAGUGUUUAUAUAUCGAUUUCGAUGAGAAUUCAGGCAUUAUAUUCUCUUGUAAGAUUACAAGGUUAUGAUUAAGAAACUAUUUUUUUUGGAUAUGCUAAUCUUUUCGUAGCUUCCAGGCGGUUGAGUUUGUUUCUUUCCUUGCUGUUGCAUGCUGAUGAAGGUUGCCAAUCUGAUGCAUUUUUAAAUCGUAGAAAGGAUAGCUAUAAUGCAAUCCUUUCUAUCCUCCAAAGUAUUAAGAACUCCGAAGAUGUUGAUGGAGUAAAAUCAAAUGUAAGUAAUUAGUCGAGCCACUUAUUCCCAGAACUUACAUUGUCGAACAAUUUUGUGAUACAACUUCGUAUUAUUGUCGUGUAAUGCUGUUCUUUUAAUUAUUCAACUGAAUUUUGCAUUUGGUGGGAAAUGUGCAGACUAUACAUGCUAUAUGCGAUCUUGGGCUAUUGAUUACAAAAAGAUUAGUGUCUGAUGUCACAGAGGUUUCAGGGUUUGAUGCAGUUCCAUUGCCAUGUAAGCUGUACAAACCUGUUGACAAAAGCAUGGAUGAAGACAUCAUGGUCAGUAUUUCCUGGUUAAACAUUUUCCAAUCUUUCCCAAGAAAACUGCAUGCGGAAAGGUUACUUUUCUGGAUUUUGGUGAUUCUUCAUUUGAUCUAUUUAGCUGCUAUUUCUUAUUCUGAUUUCCUGGUUGACUGAGCAGACUUCAAUGCAGUGAUAAUGUUCAAGGCAUUCAUCCUGUAAGAACAGGAAACAAAAAUAUUAGUUGAUGUGUACUGAACUAUUCUAGGGAAAAAAAAAUCACUAACUGGAACAAAGAUCAUAUGAAGUCAAAUCCAUGCUAUAUGCGGUGUAAUAGUGAGGGGUGAUGGCCACCGGAAAACUUAUUUUAUUUUACUUAAUGGAUUAUGUAACUGUUUCAAUAAUGUUAAGCAAGGUUUUUAUUACUGGCAUACCAGUUGGUGCAAAUCUAUAUUUACUUGUAGCCAUCUGGAACACGGGCUAGACAUUUUCACCCAAUCUAUUUCCAUACUGUUGUACAACCCAAUACAUGUAUCAUGCCAAGUGUACUGUCCAGUGCUCUCAUCAUACCGGUACAAUUUCAUCCCAAUAUGUUUCCUUUCCACACAGUCAGGCCUAGCUUUUAAAUAUUGCAAUAUUGUCAUAGAGUGAUCAUUUGGACUUGGGUGCCAUGGUAUCGGCAAAUCGACAGAGAAUUCAAUGCUCCACCUCAUCCCUGAGCUCCUCCCUCUCAUAAUCAAGCAAAUGAUCUCUGCGUCCUUUGUACUCAAAUAUGGUUAGCAAUUAAGAGCAAAAUGAAAGCUGCUACUGCUGGUGUUAGUAGUGGUACUAGGCUAGAAAUAGCGUAGUAUACGGCUAAUGCUGCUGUUGUAGUACUGUCCUUUAGUACUAAAGAUAUUUAUAUGUAGGAGCAUAGCUAUUGCUGCCGCUGCAACAGUAGUAUGCGACAAUCACUAUGCUCGUAAAUUACUAUAUAUAGGAGCAAAGCUCCUAUUGCGGUAGUAAUAUAGUAUGUUGUCAAAAGACAAACACUCAGGGACUCGGGCGUGGCUAGGUCAGGCCCAAAUGCCUCAAAGGCCUCCUGGUGAGGUGCCUUGACUUGAUGAGCACCCCAACGAGGGCUCUGGACCUCCCAGACACUCGCCUAGGCCAAGUUGUCAGGCUUCUGCAGUUACUGGUAUAACUCCACUGCCUGUCCACCAUUGCCAAUGUCAAUAUGCCUUUGCUGUGUAUCUUCUCUCCUCUUCACUUUCUUUUCCUCUUCUCUUCCCUUUUUCCUCUUUCCUCCCAUGCCUGUGUUCGCUUCCUCCUAUCACUCUCCUCUUCUUGAUCACUUGUUCCCUUUUCGUCCUCCUAAUAAUCACCUUGUUCUGCUCAGAUGAGCUCAUAGGUGAGUGCCUAGCGCCGCAGAGUAUACAUCUCAGUUGCUGAUGUUUGACAUGGAUGCCAUCUGAGAGAGUAUUCAUGGCAUUUCAUGAGUGAUUGAUUUGAGUAUAUGCCAUUUAUUUGUGUUUCGAAACAUCAAUGUUGCAUUUGCUACCUUUUUUUUCAAUUUAACGAAGUGUUUUUUUUUUUCCAAAUGGUGACUUGUGUUAAUUGAUGGCCAUAUGCGAUCGCCAUGCUUUCAUCCUUUAUAAGUGGUAGGCAAGGCAAAACAAGUAGAAUCAACUAAUUGAUAACAGGUUGCUGAUUCUUCUCUCUGUAUGUCUGGUGGAGGAUCUUCUAAAAGGAAGUGUUAAUGUUACUGCAGCCACUAUGUAGUAAACAUCUGGAGCAUUUCAAGUCAUAUUUAAAAUUAAAUUUAUCCCAUCAGAAACUGGUAGACAAUUCAAACAUUUAUAAUAAGAUAGAAAUCAAGGUACAAGUUAUCAACAGGUUGGGUGGUGUUUUGUCCUUGGAAUACAUAAAAAAUGGGCAUCCCUAGCUUUAUCCUUUUAUUAGUGUCAAUUUUUUAUUUUAUCAUUUAAGAUAUUCGCUACAUCAUAAUAUUAUAUUGAACUGGUCUUGAUAUUCCAAGUAAUAGCAUGUCCGUCUUGUUUUCUAUGUUAUUGCUAUUUCGGAGAAAUUACUGCAAGUCCUUUAGAUACUAUGACAAAUGGCUUUUCUAUAAGCUGUUGUGGUCACCAAAUUGAUGCUCUUGCAACUUGCAUAAUUACAUUCAUUAUUAGUCUGUUGCGCCAUCUGUGAUGUACUUUUGGUUUGAAAAACACAGUGAGUUCUCUCUAUAUGAGAAUAGGGACUCCAAAUUCAAAUAGGCAGUUUAAACUCAUAAAGUAGGCAUAGCCUGGCCUUGUCAACUUGUAUCUUUAUGGUGAUCCAAGUUCUCCAUAUAAUUGUAGCAUGGUAUGUUCUAAAACAGGUUAGCAGGCCAGUGUUUGAUCGCUAGAUCUACUUGUCUGUCAUCUGAACUAAUAAUUAAAAAUGAUAUUUCGAGGAGUAUUUGAUGUACUUAUUAUAAGCCUUUAAUCUUUCAAUCCUAUGUGUUAACAAGAUUCUAUCUGUAAGGAAUUUGAAUAUUAUUCAUAUUGGAUAGAAUUUAAUCAAGAUAGUACAUAUCAAUCUGGUUUCUCAUUAAUAUACUUGUCAUUCAAUAUCACAAAGAAAAUUGCUUGUUAGUACGAGUGUUUUUGUUGUAGUUAUUGUUGUUGUACGUUUGAUUGUAAUUUAAAAAACUAUAAAUGUCUUUCUCAUGUGUUCUCUGUUGUAGAAGAAAGAUCCUUUUGGGCAUGCCUAUGUUAUAAAAUGGGUGAACCCCCGUCAAUGCUAGGGAUGGUUAAUGCAUAGCCUUACAAAUAGAGUGGUUGUUUUUGUGAUAGGUCACAAAGGAUCAACCUUACCAUUGUAUCGAGGCUCGCCUCUAGGCAAGCCUAUGGUAUAUUAUACCUUAGUACUUGCUUCUUGAACAGUUAAUUCUGAUUGAGCAAUGUUUGAUUAUUUAUUUCAGUUACCACAUGACAGAAUUAUCUCCUUGUUGUGUUUAUCACCCAACUCAUAUGAACAACAAAAAUUUUAUUGACUUCAUCACUAAAACUAGGACCGGUUUUGAAUAGUUAUGUGAUUUGUAGUUAAAACUUACAUUAUGGAUCUAACUAAUGUCCUUUGAGGUGUACCUGCAGAUACUUCAUGUUAAAAAAUAAAAACUUACAUUUUUGUCUAAUUUAUGCCCUCCAGAUUGUACCUACAGAUACUUCCUAACUGGAAUUUACUUUGUUGCUUUAUUAUUUUCUAUACCCCCCAUUAUCAUUGAAAUCAAAACCAGAAUAGGGACAAAUUUGGAGUAUGAAGAUUACAUGCAAGUUCCUAUAUGACAUGAUUUUCCUUGGUUAACUAUGUUUUGUCUCAUUUUAGGAUGAUGACAAGAAGACAUGGUUGAGUAGUGAUAGUGCCUUGGCGCAUUUUGAAGCUCUUAAACUUGAAAGAAAAUCAAAGGUUUGAAUGUUACACAUUUUAGAAAACUAGUCCAUAUAUAUCUUCCAUUAAAUUAAUAUGGCUUUUGCAUUGCUGUUUUGUUCCUGACUUCACCAAUUUCUCUCUAUGUGGAAUUAUAGGGUGAUUCAGGUGCUGCAAAGGAUGGAAUGGUUUUGGAAGAGAAUGACGAGAAUGACAAUGAAGUUCCUCUCGGAAAGAUAAUGGAAAUUCUUAGAUCUCAAGGAGCCAGGAAGAAGAAGAAAAAGAAACCAGUUAAAAAGGAUAACUUACCUUCUGAUUUGGAAAAUAUUGAAAAUGAGUUUGACGUCUUGGGAGUGGUGAGAGAAAUAAAUUUGGACAAUCUGGAACGAGAACAAAUAAUGGAAACUGGCAAAUUGGUAACAGAUUCUGGAUGCAGAAGUGGGAAGAUGACUGAUAAAAGUAAUGAUGAAAAAGAGACAGUUUUUCCAAAAAGAAAACAUGAUGGAACUAGCACUGAGGUGGUGGUGGCUACUCCAAAACGCAAAAGGUCAAAUUCCAUGCAUAGAUCCAAUUCAGCAAAGGGUCAAAAAGAAAACAGAAAGAUUUCUCUCUCACGAUCAUUUGCCAAGGAUGAGACAGCACAUUCUUUGGUGGAACGAAGUUUAUAUGAGGACAUGGCUGAAACUACUACUUCGGACUUGUUAGUCUCUUGCUCACCAGGCAUCUCAUUCAAAAGAGUUAGGAAAGUUACUGACAGGUUGCAUGUUGAAAAGGCCAUGAACAGUACACCAGAGGUACAACCUUUUGUCUUUGCAAGUAUAUUAAAUUAGUGCUGGAUUAUAUUUUUGUUGUUAUGGCAUACAUUGCAGAAAUUGUCCUUACCAGAAGACAACAAAAAGAAAGAUGAUCGAUCCAAAAGCUUAUCUAGUUCAACUAAGAAGCGUAAAAGAAGAAGCAUUGCUGUUUUGGAAAAGGUAUGCCAACUUAGUUUAUUAGUUAUCAAUCGGGUUUUGUGGUAGUUGCUACAUUAUUUUUUUCUUUUAAUCAUUCUUUUUACUGCUUAUUGGGGAUCCCAUUGUUAUCUCUGUAGUACUUCUUCCUUCAACCUCAAUUAUUCUUUGGUUAAGAUGGCAUAUUAUAGUUACAAAUUAAUAGUAAAAUUUUCAUCAAGGAACUAUUAGGAUGAUAUACUAUACUUGAAUGGUACUAGUUGAUAACACUUGCCCUAUACAUGUUUGAAAACACCUGAUAGAUAUUGAAACUGAACCACGUGUCCCACUUAUUCAAAAAAUACUUUAUAAGUUGAAAUUGAUAUUUUUGGUCUUGUAUUAUAUGUAAUUAUUGAAAUUAUUUAAUAAUCUGUUAGCUUUUAAAAUGUAAAAGGGAUCAUAUUGUUGAAUGACUACAUUUAUUUUAUGUCUCGAAGACUGCUACACCUAAGGAACCUGGACAUUCAGGUUUCAUGUUCUCCCCGAAAGGGUAAGAAUAUGUAUCAGUCCACUAGUUAGCUGAUACAGGGACCAGCCUAUUUUGGAAGGACAUUGAAAUAUUGCUUGAUAUUGAAUGGUAUGAGAAUGUAUCAGUUGUUACAAAUGAAACUCGUCCUAUAUCAGUCGAUACGGGUUGGUGUCGAUGAGAAUUUGAUCAAUACCGACCCAAAUUAGGUCUAGUUUGACUCCAAUGACUGAUACUGACCCAAAUCGGGUCUAAUUUGUCCCCAAUGGUCAAAUUGACCGUUGGAGCCUCUUUUGUGGCUUUAAAUCCCUUACCUCCCCCAUCUUUCACUCACUCUCGUUCAUUCUUACUCUUUUUCUCACUCUUUCUCACAUUCUUGCUUGUGAUUAAAGUUAAUUAAGAUUCCUAAUCAGCUGAUUCAAGAACAACAGAAGCAAUUUCCUUCUAUGGAGGCAACUGAAGCAGCUAGGCCUGUUCAGUAGAGUUGUUCCUCGAUGGAUCUGAAAGAAAAAAUUCAAAAUUUCCUCUUAUAACCUAGAAGUUCUAUUCAUUUGUGUCUUAGAAACACUUUAUUCUUAUCUAAAUAUAAUUUGUAUACCAAUAAAUUAGGAAAAAAAUCCUAAAAAGAACUUUUGUAUUUUCUGGACAUUUUUUUGAAAUACCGGUAUGUAUCGGUUCAUCCAAGGAUCGAGACCAUCAGUCGGCACGGCAUGACACCACCAGUCGGCACGACACGACUGUCCUUGCUGCAAUCAAUCAUGUUUUAUGCAUUCAUGUUAUGUUGAUAUAUUAGCAAUAUAGUUACUUAUGGUAACACUGUAGCUAUAUACUUUAACUCUUAAGGGAUGGAACUUUUUUGCUUUUUGAGGCUUUUUUUGUGACACCCAUUUUCUAGAUUUUCACGUCCUUUGGUUUCAGUAUAUUGCCUAAAAUUUGCAUCCAGCUAUGCCUUUCUUUCUCAUUUGUCUUCUGUGUUGUCAGAAGAUCUCAAAUAAGUGCAAAUUUGGUUAUGUCCAUCCCCAUGCAACUUUAUACUAAGCUUUAUGAAAUCCACUAUAACCAGUGUUUAGUUGUCAGUCCUUGUUUCUUGCCAAAUGGAAAUAGCUUCAGGAGACAAAUAUUGGGAAGGCAUUUGUGGUACAAUUGGAAGUAUGAGCAUGAAAUUUUUUAGGUUAUUUGCUACAUUAAAGUUAAUGUGUCUGAUCAGUAUUAAUUGCUAUGUAGAAUAGUUAUAAGAAUGAGACUGGAAUAACCAGGAAUCAUCCCCUUGAACAUCUGGUUUAAUUAUUAGAUUGUGUCUAUUGGUAAACCAUAAUGAAUCGGCUUAUCAGGUUGGUUUCUUGAUGACCAACAUGAACAAGCUGAAUCAAACAAGAAGACCUUUGUUGGUGAUUUGUGCAAAACGAUUUAAAUGCCCUUUAUUAUAAUCUUUCUUAUUACUUGUUCUUGGGGGUAUUUAAGUUGAUUAGUGAUCGGAUUUAGCAGUGAAGUUAACGGGCGCUCAUCGAGGUGCCAGAGCGAGGUGAGGCAUGACCCGAGUGCUCGAUAAGGGGGCCAAGCAGGCAUCUUGACUUGGGCGCGGGCCAAGAGUGCACUGGGGCCCACGCCUACCUGAUUCAAAUCGGGUAGGAGCGAGCUAGAUCAUUGGAUUUGGUUCGAUCAAACUAGAUCAUUGAAUCUUCACACAUGUACCCUCGGUCCAUGCACACGAUGAGAUGACUCGUGGAAACCUAAUCGAUGAACGGCGACUCUUCCUCUGCAUCGACAAACGACAGUGGCAGCGCUACCAGCAUCUUCCUCUCCAUCAAUGAACUGUGACGAUAGCAACCUCUUCCUCUAAUGGGCUCGUCCUCACUAUCUCUCCUCCAUCGUCGCCCACUCCAUCGUAGCCUGGCAAUGCCUUCCCCACUUCUUUGCAGCUCUCUUCCCCUCCCUCUUCCGCCCACCUUCCCCAUGGUGCCUCUCCCCCACUUCCCUUGUCUCUUCCUUUCCCCUCGUUGCUAGUGUCCCCUCUUCACCUUGUGGUAAUCGUCUGCCCCCCUUCCUGUGUCGACAGCCUCCUCCUCGCAUCAGCGUCUUCCCUUCUCCUCCCUACGACGGUGGCUUUCUCUUUGUCAUCCUUUCACCCCUGCGGCCAGCAUCAUCUGCCCCUUUGCUUCACUGCCUCUUCUUUGACAACCUCCUCGUCCUUGAUGCCUCCUCUCCCUCCAACAUCUUCCCCUUCCAACCGAGAACCCACAACCACCCAACUUCCAUACCUCCUCCCUCUCCUUUAUGGAUCCUUUAUCCUUGCCUCCCUCUGAAUUGACAGCAACCCCCUCUCGAUACCCAACAACCCCCUUUUCAUCCUCCUAUGUUAAUUGUUUUAUUAAUAUAGAUUUGAACAAUAUAAUUUGGUCCUUUAAAUGAAUACUGCAUUAUUUCUUUUAUUUAAGGGAUUAUAUCUAUUAACCAUGAUAUAUAUUUUUUAAAAAAAUUAAUAUUUGGGAGCAUCGAGCAAGCUCCUAGUGCCUUGGGCAUUUUGGCACCUUGGUGCCAUUUAGCACCUCUCUCCUUUGACUACAAUAGGAUUUAAGGAAAAAGGAAUGCUCUCGUUGAGGAGUCUGAAUGUCUUCCUACUGUCAUCCAUCUCCUGCAUCUUCCAAUAUACUAUGUGCCACCAUUGGUCCCUUUGGUCACCCCUCUUUCUUCAACUGCACCUAUCUAUCGAAUCGCUGCACUUGUACCUACUGCUUUUCUCCUUUUGGCUGCUCAUCUCUCCAAUUGCCCCUCUCUCCUUGGUUCUUCUCUCUCCAUCGAAUUUAGUGUGUAAGAUGUUUUACAUAUUCCACUAAUUUAAUCUUUUCAGUAAAUAAAAAUAUAAUAUUAUGUUUUAAAAUAUUUUAUUAUUAAAUAUGUGAUUCAACUAGCUGACUCACUUGUCCAACAAUGACUGACUCAAGGUUCGGCCAAUUAUUUGUCAGAUCAGAUCCCAUAAAUAUGCUAUGUGAUAUAAUAACCAUAAGAGUAAUAAAAAUUCUGUUGUAUUAAAUAACAGUUUAGUAUUACAUCUUGUCAUGCCAUUGAUUCUCUUACAAUUGUGCAUAAAAUUAUAAGAUUUAAAAUAUCAAGCUUGUAGGAAAAAAGUAAAAUACAUGAUUACUGAUGCAUAACCUCUUUAAAAUAAUAUUUCAUUAAAUAAAGAUGCAGCAAAAGGUACAACAUCCAUAUGUUUCUCUGUGUUUUUGUAAGUUAGAUUCCUGAUCCUAAUGAGUCAUUGAAAGAAUGGAGUCUUAUUGCAUCUAUAAGACACCAAGACAUGGAUGGUUUUCCUUUAUUCUUUUCUGUCAAGCCUACAAUUAUAUGAACAUGCAUAUAGCAUGUAUAUCUCCUAAAGUUGUGCACGAUACAUUUUGUAUGCUUUCUUCUGUUAUCAUUAACAAUUUGUAUGCUUUUUUCUGUUAUUAUUAACAAAAUAAUGGGAGUUUAUUUUGACCAACUGUAUAUACCUGCAGUGUUCAUCGCAGAGUAAUCAGUUAAGUGAUGCUGAGUUGGUUGGUUCAAGAAUACGGGUUUGGUGGCCUUUGGAUAAACGGUAAAUACCAUGUGAAUUUUACAUAGGUGCAUCUAUAAAAGCUUUCUAUGUCUACUAGAGUGAUACUGCCAAACAUUUUUAUUCAGUAGACAGUAGUAGAAUGUGCUUUGUAUAAAUCUACUGAAAGUUGUAGUACUUGCCUACUUGGAAUAACUGAUGCUGGCAUUUUGCAGGUUCUAUGAAGGUGUUGUACGUUCUUAUGAUUCAGGAAAGAAGAAGCAUACGGUAAAUACCAACUGAGGUUGUUGCUUUCAUUACUGUAGAUGUUCUUUUGGGUUCUUUGAAAUGUCCCAAGGCUAAGGUCAUAUAUUAUCUUUAAACAACUAUGUUUUCAAACUUGUGUUCUAUAUUUGAAAGAAAAAAGCUAUUGCUAAAGAUAUAAAUGUUCAUCCUCGAUGAAUUCAAAUCUCAGAUUUAUGGUGGUUUGAGGUUUUCUUUCCCCUUCAAGUUCAAUUGUAUUUGGCAUCUAAUAGGUUGUUGUAUUUACUUUCACCAAGUGUUACAAGACUGAUCGAGACAGGUCAGGAUCCUACAUGCAGAUGCUGACUCUGCAAAAGAUUUUUUUUUUUCAUGGCUGUGACAUACAUUAAAAUUUUUAUCAAGCCUAUUUCAUUGAGGACUGAGAAUAAGGUUACCAGAUUUUGUAAGGGGAUGUUGAAUUGCCUGCCAUUGGGAUUAAUGGUCAAUUAUAGGCAAUUACCAAAAUAAGCUUUCUUGGAUUCUUGUAAAAGGGGGCUGCACCUGCAUGACAGCCUGUAGUCAGAACAUUCAAAUCUAUUACAGAUAAUUUAGCCACAGGUGGGCUUCGAUUUGCAAAAGUUGCAUUUUUAAUUGCAAUGCAGGCCCAAUUCAAAAGCAACUAUACACAAGUUGUGUUUGUUGCAUGGUUUGGAAAAUUUUGUUAAGAAUUUUUUUAUCUAUAUGUUACUGUUAAAGGGGAACAUACAAUCCUUUAGAAGUUUCUUGAGCUAGAAGUUGUUGUCAUACCAUAUUUUUUAUCCCAGAUUCUUGUUUAUCUAUUUGCUUAUAUGCAUCCUUCCGUUGCUACCUCUUUCUAAAACCUUUAUUGAAUUGAAUUGAAUUAGAGCUUUGCUUUGUUUGACCUGUUCACUCAUCUUAUAGAUACUGUACGAAGAUGGAGAUAUGGAAGUGCUUCAAUUAGGCAAAGAAAAAUGGGAAAUUGUCAGUAACACUGACACUCCUAGAAAGGUUGGUUCUUUGCACUUGUUUUUCUUUGCUGGGUCCUUUGUUAAAUUCAUGAAUUGUCGAAGUAUCUGGUACAUUACUAUUGGUUCUGUUAUUUGCAGCAAGCAAAAUCACAACAUCCAUUGGCUUUUAAAGAUAAGUGAGUUCAUCUACUCUUGUUGUAUGUCUUAACUGUGUUUUAGCAAGAGAGUUGGAUCACUUGGAUGCUGAUCUACACUGUGAUGUGAUGUUAAUUAUGAGCAUUUCCUCAUUCAUCUUUUGCAUUUUUCUUUCAUGCAUGACAUAAAAAGCUCAAGGCCACUUUUCUGACCUGAGAAUGAACCGAUCUAGUUUAUUUAAUGCCCCCUUUCUGUCGAAGAAGCUAUGUAGUUUCUUUGAUAUCCUUUUUAUUAAAAAAUGGCACAUAAGUGUGAUAUUUACUUCAUAGACCUCCUAUUUUGACUGUCGAAUUCUUCAAUCCAUGGAUGAUGUUUCAGGUCACUUGACUUUGUAAAUUACAGAAGUGACCAUUCUGAUUCUGGACAAAGUAAGGAGACGAAGAAAAAGUAAGUAGAUUUCCCUUUUGUUUUGUCCUUUUGCCUGUCAAACAACCAAUUUAUUGGAUUGAGCAAUUGACAGGUCUUCCUCAUUCAAAGCUAAAAAAAGAGGUACUUCGAAAAAAGAUGCUGGGGAAAACAGCAAAAUAGUGUUAGAGAGUAAAAUCAGCGCAGACUCUAGUCUGGACAGUAGGGGCGACUCUGAUCUAUCAGAUAUCCACCCCCGCUCUGAAUUCAAUGAUGUCAAAUCAGGUACAUCCAUGCAACAUUUUAGUUAUCCAUUUGUUAGGUAGGUAUCCAUCCUUGCCACCUAUGAAUCUCUUUUUCAGUUGGUUGUCAUUACUUGCCUUUUUCUUUAGAUAAAAUCACACAGAAGAAAGUAUCACCAGCCUCAGAAGUUGGGAAGCAAACAAAAACGAAAUUGAAUGAGUUAGCCAAAUCAUCAAAGGAAGAAUCACGAGAUUUUUCCAGUUCAGCUGGGAGGGAAGACUCGGAUGAUGAGCCUAUUGUAUGUUCUUCAGCUCUCUAUUUAUAUUUCAAAAAUCUAGAGCGUCACUAAUUGUUCUGCCAAAACAAAUCAAUGAUGCAGAGUACAUGGAAGCUACGAGCAGGGAAGUCUGCCUGAAUCUUCAAACUCCAACCUGAUCUUCGACACUCACCUCAAGAUUUCAUGGUCAUGAUGGCUUCGAUGAAAUCACCCAAAAGAUAGUGAUACUACAACGUGGAUACAAAGAUGAAAGCUUUCUGUAAGAUAACAUAUGGCCCAAGGUUGGUGCAAAGUUUAUCCCCCCUGGGAAAGUUCCAUCGCUAGUGUUUCUUUGCAUAAACAAUCAAACUUCCUGUGGGCAAUUUCGUCUUCCAUCGACGAAUUAGUUGUGGGGUGUAGGUUAUGGAUUCACAAUCCAUUUUGUUUCUUCUUGUGUAGCCAGCAUCAUUAUCUUGUAUGCAAACAACUGACAGACCAGAUAAUCUGAAUGGAACUGAAUAGUUAGAACGUUGUUGAUUCAUUUUGGUGGCUUCUUCUGUUGACUGAUGCAUUCAGUUAGAGGCAUUUUGGUGGCUUCUUCUGUUGACUGAUGCUUGAAUCCUCUGGCUUUCACAAGUCAAAUCCUCUGGCUUCUGUUGACUGAUGCAGGGCACCUUUGUUUCAUACUGAUUGAGUAUUGCUUGCUUCUAUUCGAACAUUGAUCUAUGAUCAUGUCAUUGCAAAGCCAAGCCAUCAUGUUGAUGACUCAUUCUCUGCCUGCGGUGUUUUCUGUAGCAUUUUUCCAUGCUUCAUCCUCUGCAUACAUCUCCCUCCUAUUAUAUUUGACAGUUUAGGCAUCGGAUUUAUCUAUGCAAUUUUGUUUGGUCAACUAUGUCAAUCAAUGCCAUUUGUUUUCUCGUUGACACUCAAAACGCUUCUGUGGCUGUUACAGAAGAGACCAAAAGCGCCACCCACCUUUCAUGCCGCAUGCUCUCUCCGUGUCCAAAAGCCCUCACUUUCCACCCCCAGACGUUCGCCUUCGCGGAGUUGUCAUCGUCGCAAUGGCGUCCUUUUGGAGAGAGGUCAUUCUCACAAGCUCUCCCAACCAUCCGAUCACCGCCCUCGAUCCGCUCACCGGAACCAUCCGCGCCCGCUUCUCCGGCAGCCACACCCCUCGGAAGGGCCUGACGCUCGUCGGUGACGCCCUCAUCGCCGCCUCCCACGUCUCUGCCACCGCCUCGGGCUUCAUUCGAUUGUACGACCGGUGGACCUCCAACUUGGUGCACUGCCUGCCAACGCCUGAGCCGGUGGCCUCCCUCGUCGCGACUCCAGACGGAUCGUACCUCUUUUCCGGUGGCCUCUCGGGCUUUGUUCACGCUCUCAUUCUUCCCUCCGGUGAUCUCCUGCGCUCGUUUCGUGCCCACCGCCAGCCUGUCUCCUGUUUGACUGUCAACGACGACGGCUCGCUUCUGAUCUCAGGUGGUGAUGACGGCACGAUUGUAGUGUUCCCCAUAAUUCGACUGCUGGAUGCCGCUUCCGGCGAUGAUGAUUCCGCCCAACUUGCGCUGUGCCGGUUCGCUGCACACGACUUGUCGGUGACCGGUGUCUCUUCCAGACCAGGCGGCUGCAAUGCGACCAUGGUUUCGAGCUCCCUCGAUGGCACAUGUAAGCUUUGGAGAAUAACAGAUGGCAGCCAUCUACGAACCGUGAAGUUCCCGUGUCCAAUGUGGUGUACCGUCAUGGAGCCCACAAGCUCUCACAUCUACGCCGGAGGAGCAGAUGGGAGAGUGUACGCGGUGCCGCUGGUGGCCAGGCGACGUCGAACACCACUCGACGAGGCAGAUGUUACGGCGUGGGAAGCAGAGCAGAGCGGAGCAGUGACGGCACUGGCGAUGGCAAACGGGAACCAGAAUCUAGUCUCAGCUUCAGAAGAGGGGCUCAUAACUAUCUGGGAGACGGAGCACGGAUCGAUCGUACGAUGCUUUGGGCAUGAAGGCGGAAGCAUCGGAGAUCUCCUGGUGGCCGGAGGAGGAGCUACUGGAUUCAGAGCAGCUCGUAAUGGAGAUGAAGCACGUUCAUCCCCUGGAGGAGGGUUCUGUAAGAGGGAGAUGAGUAGGAAGAUCACCGAGGCGAUGGAGAUGGAUGAAUGGUUGAGAGUGGUCAUGAUAGAUAAGCACCGGGCCGUCGACAUGCUCGAGACGGCGAUCGGAACCUACCGGAAGCUCUUAGCUUUGCUUCUCAGGGAGGCCAAGAGAGGCAUCAACGAAGAAGAUGCUACGGACGUGUACCAUUCUACAUCUGUAUGAGAUAUGAAUGCAAUGAACGAAGAGUACGUAUACCACCAUUCACGUUUUUACCUGCGAGUCACUUGUGCUGUUCACAGCACACACUAUGUUGGGCAUCACUCAUUCAUGAAGUCAUUCAAUUGAGAAGUAAUAACAUAAAAGAAGGAAGGAAGAUGAGACGGGAGAUAACUAUAGAGCAUAACACAGACGAAGCCUUCUUCGUUCCUCGUUGCAGGUUGAUGCUACGAGUGCUGAAGACCCUCACCUUCUCUUAUUCCCGAGCUUGCAGACACAGAAAGCACACCCCCAAGCUGAUACUUGUCCACCCCACCUCGCCCACAUGUUCCACUCCCCUUCCCUGUCCCCAUUAAUCCCACAAGUAUCGCUACUCCUUACCACAUUCCAUCGACUUUACUCGUUAACCUCAUCCACCUCUGCUCUCUGCGACCAUUUGGUAAUCGAGUGAGUCCCAAAGAGCAUCCCUCUCCCCCUUACAACACACACGUUAUUGCACUACAUAUUAUAUAUUGCUUAGUUAUCCCUGUUGGUGCUUCGUUAUUUGUAGGGAGGAUAAGGGUGGUCAAAGUUGGGCAUCCCGUUGACAUGGGAGUAGCUUCCGCUUGCACUGGAUCCUUCCCCACUCCCAUACAUGCCGAGGAAGUAGCUGACCAUGCUUUCACUUAAGAGGUUGUGAUGCUGCGGGGCGGCGGUAGCUGGCGGUGGCAUGACGAAGUUCGGCGGUGGCACCGGGGCGGUGGUGAAGAACUGGGAGGCAGCCGUAGGUAUAUCAGGGACGGCGGUGGGAACGGCUCGGUGUUUGAUGAGUUGGAGGGCCUCCCCCCGGACGGAGCCGCGGUGGUCGCCCUCCAGCUCGCGGUAGCGGUGGAGGAACAGCGUGAGGGGCUCGAUGUAGUCAUCGAAGCCGAGCUUGUUCAUGGCCCACAGCACGUCCUCGGCGGUGACGGUCUUGCGCUGCUCUCGCUGGCACCGCUCGUUGGCCUCGCUGGUGAUGAAGCUGAUGUACUCGGAGACGCACUCCUGGAUCAUCUCCUUGGCGUCGUCCGCGAUCUUGGCGUGGGCCGGCAGCACCCUGCGCAUGAUGCGGAUCACGUUGGCGAUCGGCAUGAAGCGAUCCUGCUCACGCACGACGGGCGGGGCGGCGGCUCCUGCUGCGGCAGCCGGGUUCAACUCCAUCGGAGGAUCUUGGAUCAGCGGAACCCCGGCCACGCCCUCACCGGCGACUCCUGCACCACCAACGACCAACGCUGCAAUCAAUUAGUAUCACUCCAUGGCAGGAGAAACAUGCAUUAAACGGACACGUGUCAGAAGUGUAUGCGUAGCGCCAGUAGGACUGUGGGAAGAGAUGGAGGUUCAUAGGCGCCGUCGUGUUGCCUCGUCCAGGGAGGACACGUGGCAGGCGGGGUGGGAGGCGGGUAAAGAGAUUGACUCGUUGGAGGCCACGGCUGACCGGACCUGUGGAACAGAAAACGACAAGGACUAGCCUCGUGAACAUAAGACUGACGCGGAUGACGACGUUCACGUAAUUGGCGGACGUUAAGGCAACUCGACGUACGGCUCAGAUCGUCCAAUCGAGUGGAGUCCACACGCAUCGGACGUGCCAGAUUGAGUCAAGUCAACAGAGAGGGGGUAAAUUUUGAACUCAACGGGACCAGUAAAAGAGGCGUUUCAAGUCUGACCUAAUUUAGUCCUGGAGAAGAGCAAUUAUGGAAGAUGAAGCAGCUUUAUACGAAGUCCAAUCAACUUCUUCGUCAACAAAGAGGAAGGGCCAGAGAUAAAAUGCAUACGAAGUUUCCCUAUCCCGUAAAAUACUGUUCUUAUGGUCAUAAAACUGAUCCAAAAAUACCUAAUAUUUUCUGCAACAAGAAAGAGAAGUUUGUGCUUUGGUUCCUCUUUGGUAGUAAAAUUUCUGGAAUCCAAUCAACUUGAGUAUAAAGACUAGCUAAAGGGAGAAUCCUUCGUGAAUCUUCAACAUGGUGGAUGAAAAUACCAAAAGAAGAACAAUAAAUACAGUGACUGUGUUUACUGUGUUGGAGAUCGGAGCAUUAUCAUGCAUCAUGAUAUGCUGCAUAAACCAUGAAAUGGAAAUGAAUCUUAAAAAAACUCGGACGGCGGUGAUCGUGGACUCAUGUGCGUUAGAGAGAGAGAGAGAAAAGGGUUCUCCAAGUGGGAUAUAUUCUACAGAACCUGCGAGAUCAUGGUCGCCAAGGAAGCCUGCACCACUUGCCAUCGCUGCCGAACCCCCUCGCCUUUGGUUCUGCCUCUCUCUCUAUGAAAGGUGGUGGAGAAGGAGAGCGUUGCGGGCUCUACUUUAUACUGCUCUCGUCACAUAGCAAUUGGCACUCCAAGUGGCACGACGCUGGGUGGUGCAGCGGCACAAACGAGAGACUGAGAGAGGGUUCUGGUUACCCCCAAGGUGAAGGUAUGAUGAUCCUCUCUAAAUCUUAGGUUUACGGAGACUGGAUCAUGGAAAAUGUGUAGAGGAAAUCACAUCUUUGCAUGCAUUGGAAUCAUCUGAUUUCUCUUCCUGGCUACUGCAUUAAUUAAUCCCUGCAUUAACACCACAGGAUUUGUUACAUGCACUUUACUCCCGUCUUCCAAAAUGGUCAAUGCAUUGCAGGGGGGGUCGAGUCAGCACGUGUAUAUGCUGACAAAUUAUUCCAGCUAAUCACUCUGCUACUUCAUACCUUACGAUCGUUAUUGAUAUGCUAUCAAGUCUCAGUAACUCGGAUCGUAAUUCUCAUCUCACUUUGGUUUCCUUUGUUUCACGGUCAUGCAUAAUGAAUGCUUUGCAAGGUGGCAGUGCAGAAUGAUUGUUGCAAUUCCUCGAUCAUUCAUUCAUCCAAGCCAAUUGUUCUCGCUGUUAAGGAGUGUUGCAGAUUGCAUCAUUCUUUCCCAACUUUUACUGAGAGACAUGCCAUGCCAGUGGACUCCGAUAGAAUUGACGUGUAAUAAUUGCACUUGCGGAAGUUUCCCCCUGUGAUCUUUCUUCCUUGCAGUGUAGUCUUCUUCUCCUAAAAACUGAAUGAAUUCCUAAGUAAGACCCAAACAAAAUUGUUCCUUAUGAUCAUGUCGCCGACGAUUAUCCAUGUAUCUUAUAUUCUUUUUGUUCCAGAUUCUCUCGACAUUUGUGAUGCUGAUGCUUCUGCUACACGAAAGAAGAAAUACUUUUCAUGCACAUUCAUGGAACAAGAAAUAUUCUCCGAAUUCAUAUGGCAGGAGAAGUGGAACAUUUCAUAAGAAUCCUUGCGUAUGAAACAGCAAUAAACAGUGAUAAAAGAAUCCUUGCCUACGCUUUGCAUCUACUUCAAGCGAUUCCACCACUUGGCACUUACACGAUGGAACAGCAGGAUGAAAGCCAAGCCCUUCAGGUUCCCACACAGUGAUACCAUGUAGUGGACUAACAUGCAUGGGGAAUCUACGUGCCCGAUUGAUACGUGUGCUUCGCGCACACGGAGGUUUCGUGUGGAGCAGAGAGCAAAACACACGAAUAAGACGAACACGUUCCUGACUGUCAGCUAGAAAAUUAAAGUGUUGGCCUCUGUUACCAAAUCCCGUCGUCGUCUUAUGCUACCCACUUCUUGUCUUAGCCUGCAUGCGAGGGAGGACUCUUGGCGUGCAGUCCUGAGCGAAGACAAAGCUCUACUUUGAGGUCAUUGGAGGGAUAUAAAGCAAUAAGCCCAUAUUAUUUUGGACGAUUGUUUAAGAAAAUACUCGUAUUUUGAGUAUUUUCUCAAACCAUACCCCCAUUUAAAUUAUUCUCAAAUCAUGACCUCUAAUUCGAAAAAACCAAAACUAUCCCUACCCAUCCUCCACCUCUGUGGUUAUGAGGUGGAGGGGGGAGGAGGAAGGGGAAGGAGGGGAGAUGAGGGGGAAGGACUGGCGACGGGAGAGGAGGAAGAGGAGGGGAGACGUGCAGGCGGCGGAGGCGCCGGUGGCAACGGUGGAAGAGGAGAGAACGGGCAGUUUGGAUAGUUUUUGAAUUAAGAAUUAUAUAUAUAUAUAUAUAUAUAUAUAUAUUGGUGCCCAUAAUAUAUACCGGCGUGUUUUAGAUGACACGAGAUCGUAUACAUGCUGAGUGAUAUAGACGUGGACCCACGGGCUAUAGGUCGAGGGCUUUCCGCCACGUGUAUGUACCGGGCCGACCCAAUUACGGUGAUGGGCUGCUUACAAUGGUGGCUGGUAUUUGACACGGUCGGCCUCCUCCCGCGCCGCCGCCUUGUUCCCCUUCAAGCCUCGCGCGCGGCUCCUCCCCAGUUACCGUUUCCUGGGCCUGAUGCGUUCAUUCAGCCGCCACGGCCACCACCACCAUCCGCUCCCCCUGCGACGGCCACCACCGACUCCAACCCUGUGGUGGAUUUAGAAUCCCCGUGGAAAACAUGACAUUGGAUGCACUUUGUCUGAGUUAUGCAGAGGCUUCAAACCAUGGAACAGUCAAAGGAUCUGUUUGUUUUUGGACUAUACAUGACAGAAUUCAAACAAAUUAGUCGGAAUAGUGAAGAUACAUUCCAGUCUCUCGAUGAGCAAUUCAUGUUGAUCAGUUGAAUGCUACUACACUCACUAAUCCUCGUCAUCUGAUACUAUUGCAGGUCCUGACAGCAGUCUCAUUUCAUCACUCUCAUCGUCUAUCCCAUCAGUAAUGUCAAUAGCUUUGGUGGAAAGCUUUUGCUCAUCUCUAACUUCACUGCUAUUUUCCAGCUCAAGCUGCUGCAUCUCUGAUGCUAUCAAGGAAUCCAUUCUUGCUCGCUCUCUGUCUCUUGGAUAGGUACAGUAUAGGAAAGAGUAGAUGGAACAACAUAGUGACAUUGGAAUUGCUAUAGCAGUGUAAAGCGCCUUGGCCAACGAGGCAGCGUUUGCUCUGUCCGACUCGAGAACUGCACCUUCACCUGAUCCACUGGGAGUCGGUCUGUAACCAUAGAGAUGCUCAGCUAAAAUGCCAACAACUGGAGGAGCAAACGACGCGAGUAUGGACUCAAAGGAUCUAUCUAGUGCGUAGAUGCUCGUUCGAGAUCUCUCCGGGACUAUUUCUGCAAAUAUCGGACUGCACGCACCAAAAAAAAAAAAGAAGAUUCAGCAAAGAAACGUUGCUCUGAUAAGAGCUUAAUUAGUGACUGCAUGCAUGACGUACUUGUUAGUGGCCGCCGCGUUCCAGGAGAUGCUUAAUCCCAUGAUGAAGAAGACAAGGCCGUGAGCAAGCCCUGUGGAGGGGUCACCAGGCAAGACCAGUAACAGCACACCGGCAAGAGGAAUGCAAGAACCAGAGCUUAUCUGUGACAACACUAUCCUUCCGGCGUUGGGGAAAUGCUUUGCAAGAAAGUCCCCCAUCUUUCCCCCAAACAGUGCUCCAAGCGACGUCGCAAUGGAGAACAAUGUCAUGAGGAGUCCGGUCUCGCCGUGGGAGAAUCCGACGAGCUCCAGCCACAUCGGCAUGAACGAGAGGGCGGACCACGGAAACGAUCCGCUGAUCCCCUGAGCCACGAUGAUCUGAAACGAAGGGAUUCUCAUGACAGUCUUGGCUUCUUCGAUCAGAGCCUUUAGUUCUGCCCAAAUCAACUUCCUCGAGGUGGCUUUGUCGCUUGCACCAGUAAGGUUCUUAGGGAAAUUAGGAUCCACUGCAAAGAGCCGGACCAGAAUUCCUACUACAACACUUAAAAUGGUGAUCAGAUGGAAGGCAACUCUCCAGCCAGCGAUUCCCAUGAACGAAGUGGACGCCAGCAGAAGGCCCAAGAAGUUGCCGAUGAUGGAGCCGAAACCACUGGUCAGAUAUAGCCAUCCAAAUGCCGAUCCACGAGUGCUGUCGUUGGUGGAAUCGGCCACAAGGGCUUGGAUGGAUGGUAUUACCAGAGCUAACCCGACCCCAUUGAGAGCCCUUGCGACUGCUACCUGUUUACAUUCAGAUCUUCGCUUGUUAAUCGAUAGAUGGAAAUCUUUGUCAAGCUUGCAUAAGAAAACAGAGAGAUUGGAUUCCAAUCCGUGGGAAACGGCGACGGCAACAUCAAGCGGAGUACCUGGAGGAAGGUGGUGGAGACAGCAACGAGGAAGGUGGCGGCGGACCAGAGGAAGGCGCCGAGGGCCACGACAUGGGUCCGGUCGUACCGCAUGGACAUGUAAGCGGCGAGGGGAUAGCAGCAGGUCUGCACGAUGGAGCGGAAGAGGGUGAGGGAUCCGAGGGCGGUCGGGGUGGCGUCGAGGGCGGCACCGACCUCCUUGUACACCGCCGGUAGCAGCGCCUCAUCUGCCCGCUCCAUGAUCCCGGCCAGGUUCACCAGGACCAACGUCCUCGUCUCCACCCCCAUUCCCAUCGCCACCAUUUUUUCUCCGUUCACCCUUCCUUUGGAUCGAAGUCAGAGGGUCAAGGAGUUGGACUUGGCGGCCAAUGAAACAGGGAGAUCUGUGGAACGCGGGAAAGGAAUACAUUAAAUAUUACAUGCGGUCAUGACCACAUGAAAGGCUCCCAGGAUUAGGACCAAGAACUCUCAGCCACACGGCGGCGAGCGAAUCAGCUGGGCUCCACCGGAGACAACUCCGUCGGUGUAGAUUGCGAGGGCCAGCGCCAUCGUUUACUUUGGUGUAUGUUAUUAUUCAUCUUCCUCGGAGUGGGUCGCAGGUGGCGUCCUGAGGCGCGUGACCAUUUGUUUGAUGAAGACGGAGACGCCAUUAAUCUAGCACAUCACAUGAAGUACUGUUGGAUCAGAGUACCUACGUUGUUUCCGAGAGGCAGCAGAAUUCUUCCUGGUUGCUCCUGAUCUUGUUUCCGAGGCCAUUGGAGAUGCUACAACUGUGUUCUCCACGCUGAUGUAAUCGUCGGAUAUGGGACACUUUUUGUAUGAAAAGAAAAGGUGGUAGAAAUUGCAGCGAGGUUAGUGCAGAUAGAAAUCAUAAUAAAGAUAUAAAAUGAUCCUUUAGUUCACUCCUCUUCGUAAUAUGUUGUUUAAAGAAAAAAAAAAAAGCUUUCUUUCCUUCCUCCUCUUAUCUCUUCCCAUCAUAGUUUACCCUAGCGACAAUAAUCUCUUUGUCAUUUGCUGUCACUAUUGUUGCCACAAUAGCAAACCCUUUUCUCGAUGAUCUAUACAUGUAUUAGAUUUUCUCGAGGGCGUCUACUCCCUCAUCUUCCUUAUUAUCGAUAAGCUCUUUACCACCAAUUUCAUCGGUGUCAUCGGACGUCUCCUUCAAUGUAAAUAUCAGAUCUCUUGAAGCCAUAACCUUCCCAACAACUUACCACUGAUUGAUGUCAUCAUGGUCAUCAACCUUCUUAUUAGCCACAAAUGUUGCCACAACUUCAUUGGUGUCCUUGGAGACCUCCUUCAAUGUAGAUUCCAGAUCUAUAAAUAUGAGAUUUCACAAAGAUAAAGCAAGAGAUGGAACUUCAUUAUAACUUACUCGUCAUCUCCUUUAUUCUAAGUAACUCCAUCAUAGCCACCGACCAACCUCUCGAUGCCACUAUCACAAUAUGGGCUCUUUCCCCUUCAUUCCAGAUUAUGAGUCCUUCGAUAUUUAUAGUUUCAUUGAUCUCUAUCAUAUUCCUCCUUAUGCCUUUCUUAGAUCUUUCACUAACAAAUCAGAUCUCUAUUGUUUAUUAUCUGCUAUAUCAUCAAUUGGUUCUGGAUUUUUCUUAGUGGAUCACAGUAUAUUUUUAGUAUAUUUUCCUCAUCUACAUAUGACACUCCAAUUAUUGUUUCCUUAAGAAAAAUAUUUUAUCUCAAUCAACAUAACUUAUAUCCAUUAAUGCAGCAACUUUAAUCUCCUUCAAACUAUUAAAUAGCGAUAAAUAUGUAUCUUAACAAGCACAAUUCACCAAUCUCCUCUUUGAAUAUGAUCUAUUAGGUUAUAUCGAUGACUCUCUUAGUUGUCUACUGGAAAAGAUCGAAAUAUCAAGAGAAGUCAUCCCAAUAACAAGUCUUAAUCAUAAGUUAUGGUUAUGAUAAAAUCGUCUUAUUCUAUAAACAACUUAAGUCUCAAUCAUUAGCUCUAUAGUACCACUAAUCUCUUCAUGCAUUAGUAUAACAAAAGCAUGGUUACAAUUAUAAAUCACCUUUGCCGAUCUCUCUCACACUUGUAUAAUAAAUCUUUUAUCAAUUUUGAUGGAAAUAACAUAAGAGGAAAGCAUUAUUGUUGAUUAUAUGUAAAAUCUAAAAGCUGUUAUAGAUAAGUUAACUUUAAUAUAUUAUCCCCUGAGUGAUGAAUAAGCAUUAUUUAUAUUCUCAAUAGCCUAAAUGACAAAUAUAAGGAACUAAUGAUAGUAAUUCACCAAUAUCAUUUGAAGAAUUAUAUGAUAAGUUGAUUGAUCAUAAAACAUAUCUGAAAUAAGAAAAGAGAAUAAUGGGAUCAACUAUCAUAACUUAAUUCAAUAAAAAAAUUUAAAAAAGAUAAUCAAAAUAAUAAGAACUUUAACAAAAGAUUAAACAAAAUACCUCUUGAAUACAUAGGUAACACACAGAUGUAUCAUCUUCCAUUACACUAUUAAACCUCUAACCUUUGUAGCAAUUUCAAUUUAGAUAGUUCAAAAAUUUCAAUUAUAACUAUCAGCAAUUCUGACAUCCCAACAAUAACAAUUAAUAAAAAAAUAUUUACCUGUGAUAAAAUUGGAUACACAAUAAAAAGUUCAUCAUUGUCAACCCAAGCCUACUGCUACACUCAACUGACCUCAAGCAAACAUCAUGACUACUCUAAUUGUGCAUCUAAGUAAUUAAAUUAUUGACUUCAGUACUUGGUUCAAGGUCAAAAUAAAGACAAUAUCCAUGAAUGACCAUCAACUUCACAAAUCACCCGAUCAUUCGCUUUUGUUUUAGUUGUUGCUCUAAUUAAUGUGCGAUAUAAUCACCUUGGUUAUCCAUCAUCCUCAAUUCAACGGUAGCUAAUUUUUUGUUACUCGUUUCUGACUUUCAAAUAAGAUAGAAUUAUAACUCAUUAUGAUGAUUAUCUUAGUAAUAAAAGUUAAAUACUAUCUUUUGUAAUAUUUUCUAUAUUUUACUUCAAACCACUUGAGAUUAUUUACAUUGAUGUCUAGCGCUUUGCCCAAAUCACUUUCUUUAAUAAUUUUAGAUUUUAUAUUAUUUUUAUAUAUUAUUUCACUAAAUAUAUAUGGCUAUAUCCUCUCAAAUAUAAAAUAUGAAGUCAUUAGAAUCUUUACUCAUUUUAGAACAAUAGUUGAGAAUUUCUUCCAAUCUAUUAUUAAAAUAAUUUACUUUAAUGGAGAAGAUAAAUACUAAGCCUUAAUAACUUAUCUCUCAUCUUGUAUUAUACAACAUUUCAAGUUACCACCACACACACAUCAAUUAGUUAGUUUUAUCAAACGAAAGUAUCAACAUAUAGUUGAAAUUAGUUUCACCCAUUUACACUAUGCCUCCUAACUUUUUAGUUAGUAAUCUUUUAAACAAUAAUCUAUCUUAUUAAUCAUAUGCUCACCCCAAUCCUAUAAUACUAGUCAUCAUCUGAAAAAUUAUUUUCAUAAAAUCCCAAACUAUCAAAAACUUAAAGUAUUUAAUUAUUUAUGUUAUCCCUAUCUAUGCCCUUAUGCUUCAUACAAGUUAACACAGAUUCAAGUGUUGCAUCUUCUUUGGGUACUCCCUCGAAUAUAAUGUUUUUCAGUGCUUUAAUCCUCAUGCUCAAAAGGUUUUUGUAUCACGUCAUGUUAUUUUUCUUGAGUCUACCUAUUCCUUCCAAAAUCUUUCUCUUUCAAUAAUGUGAGUCAUUACAACAACCAUAUGUCAUUAGGUUCAUAUGAAUAUACCUCAAACUCCCUUAAGUGUUUCUCUUAUCAUAUCAACCAAUAGUUCUAUUAUAGACCUAUACUCUCUUAUUACUCCAAUUCAAUAGAAUUUCACUCUCUCUACAACUUCUCCAUCUACCUCUCUACCAACUCACUAUAUAAUGCCAACGAAGCAAUGUCCUUAGCAUUAUAGUGUAUCAGCCUGAUUAAAUAUGUAUCACUAACUUUCCACCAAUUCUCAUUUAUUUAACACAACCCAAUAAUACCAUUAGCUUGAACACCGCAUGAUAACAUGCUCCAAAAAUGACUUCUUCAAACCAGGUCGGUCAAAUCCUUGAUCUUCAUUCAUGCUACCCUACUAAAUUUACAACCAUCACCCAAACUCAAAAAUCUUUACACUAGCAUAAAAUCAUGUGUGAAGAAUAUAAUGUCCUACUCAAUAAUAUCAUAUGAACCCUUAUAUCAUCUCACCACACACAAAAUGUUAUCGGGUGUAAGUGAAUAUUUCAAAUUAGGUAGAACUUAUAUAAAUCUAUUUCUAGAUAUAAAACACAUUUAGUGUCCAAAGGAUUUCACCAACGAUCAGGUGUUGAUUUUAUAGAGAUCUUUAGACUAGUUGUUAAAUUGAUGAUAAUCUAGCUCAUCCUAAGUUUAGUAAUUACUAGCAUAUAUGUACCUUCUUACAAGAGAUAUUAACUCAAGAUGUCUUUAUGUAAUAAACCUCUAGCUUCAUUUACCCUCAAUAUCCAAAUUAUGUUUGUAGACUAUGAAAACCUAUUUAUGGACUUUGCUAAUUUCCAAGAGCAUGGUAUAGCGAAGUUGGCUUAUAUUUUAUAUCAACCGACUUCGUUAACUCCAAGUCUGACACUUAUUUAUUUCUAUGGUAAUAAAGGGAUGCACUAUAUAUCUACUGAUUUAUGUGGAUAAUAUCAUCAUCGCAAGUAAUAGUUCUAUAGAGAUCGAGUAAUUCAUUAAGCAAUUAACAUAUUUAUUUUACAUCAAAGAUCUAGGAACCUUAAGUUGUUUUCUAGGAGUGGAAGCAACGUUCACAUCUUUUGAACUUUUCUUAUCUGAAAAGAAGUACAUUCGAGAACUAUUAUUAAAGACAAAUAUGUAUAAUGCUAAAGAAGUCGCUGUCAUACUCUUCACCACUAAAUGUGUAAUAUCCCAUCAGUCCCACAUCGGAAGUGGGGAAUGUGUAAGAUUAGCUUAUAAGGGCCUGAUGAGUGUACUACGUAAACUCCCGCUUGAGCAUUUUGGUCCGUGGUUGCAGGACCAAAAUGGAGUUAUUGGCCAGUUAGCUCAUCAGACUCGUGUGCCCUUAUAAGGGCCUGAUGAGUGUACUACGUAAACUCCCGCUUGAGCAUUUUGGUCCGUGGUUGCAGGACCAAAAUGGAGUUAUUGGCCAGUUAGCUCAUCAGACUCGGGUCAUGACAUUUGGUAUCAGAGCCGACCUAGCAUUUGGGUAGGGUGAGAAGGCUCGAGUAGGAAAGGAAACCUCACAUGCACUAUGCUAGGGUUCGAUCUGGGUUAUGUUCGACCUUGACGAGGACGUCAAGCUAAUUGAGUUGGGGAUAAUGUAAUAUCCCAUCAGUCCCACAUCGGAAGUGGGGAAUGUGUAAGAUUAGCUUAUAAGGGCCUGAUGAGUGUAUUACGUAAACUCCCGCUUGAGCAUUUUGGUCCGUGGUUGCAGGACCAAAAUGGAGUUAUCGGCCCAUAACCCACAGGUCCCAGGAUCGAAACCUGGCUCUGAUACCAAAUAUAAUGACCCGAGACUAAUGGGCUAACUGGCCUAUCAAUUUUGUUUAAUCUAAACCACUGACCAAAAUGCUUAAGCUGAAGUUGAUAAGUACUUUGUUUCUUACGGUAUCUAUCUCUCACACGUCCAUGUGUCUGAAUUAUAGUUAACAAAUUAUCAUGAUUUAUACAUCAGCUCUCUACUAUGCAUUAGUCUGCACUAUAAUAUGUCUUGCGGUAUCUCAAAGGAACUCUUAAUUAUAAAUUUCUUCGUAAAUAUUCAUCACUUCAUUUCUAUGCCUUUAUCGAUGCUAAUUCGAUAAGCAACACUGAUGGUAAAACAUCUACAUUAGCCUACUAAUCAAUCAGAAUUUCAAGAAAUAUAAUAUAAUCGAACGAUCCAUCAAAGUUGAAUAUCGAACCAUCGCACCAUUGUAAAACUCAAUUAAGUCAUUAAUUUACUAUAUGAACUUAACAUCACCUCCCAAUCCAUUCCUAUAAUAUGUUAUGAUAAUGUCAAUGUCACCUACCCGUGAGUCAAUUUGAUGAGUAAAUACUUACGUAUGAAAUAUAUUAUUAUCAAUUUUUAAUUUUUUAGAGAUAAAAUUGUUAAACUUCAACUAUGUGUUUCUCACAUCCAUACUUUUGACCAACUAAAAGACUCCUUCAUAAAAUCUUUUGCUUAUAGAGUAUUUCAAUUACGAAGAUUGACAUCAGAAAACUCAAUUUUACGAAAACAAGAUAGAUGAUUAUGAUAAAAAUAAAUAAGAAUGAUAAUUUUAUGUUCCUUACCUACUUAAUAAUUUAAGUUUGAUUGAAGAUUUUUUUCUUAAAAUCUAUAUAAAUAUAUAUUAUUAUAACUAAUAAAAUUAUUAUUCUUUAAUUUUUUCAGGUGCAACUUAUUCUUGUCAAAAAGACCGGACAAUGGAGCUAAAACUUUAGAUGUUCACAUGUACAAAUUGCCUUCUGUACAUCAUAUCAUCAUAAAUCAUGUCUCCCUCAAACCAGGGUUGUCAUGUCGUCAUUUGUCAUUUCCUAUGAUGACACUUGCAAUGUGGAGCGGAUGAAAGGUCACUCUCAAGCCAGGGUUUCCGUGAACGAAGCUUUCACAUAUAUCUUCAACAUAAAUAAACAUAUAUAUAUAUAUGUAUAUUCUUCAUAAAUCAAUGUCACCAUAAAUCUCGUCCGUGUGAUUAUUAGUGUGAACGCCAUCACAAGUCAUCCGUUCCUUCGUGUCAUGUCGGGCACUGCCUUUGUUGGAUGGAGAAGAUGGCCGCUGACAGUGAUUCGAAGGUACCAACGAUAAGCCACCACCGUUUGAUAUCAUCAUCUUCUGGUGUCAUCAUGGGGUUCGUCAUAAGGACACGUGUAGCUUUUGCCGCAAUUCCCGUCCGGGCCCCACCUGUCAUGAAGCUGCUGAUGGAUGAGGGUGCGGACCCCAUUUGGUGGUUCGCCGGUCCCCUCGAGCAAGCGUGACGCACGGACGACGUCAUCCCCUUGGUUAAGAUCGGAUCAACUAACAGAACACGGAUCCGUUUAACGAUUUGGAAGCGGAUUACGUGGGGUUUGGUUCAUCGACGAGCCUACCUGGGUCGGCAAGCGGUUCGACCCGACCGGAAGUAAUUAACUCGACCCGUAAUGGAUUCAACAAAUAUGUUAUGGUUGGUCAGUCAAUACGACUAGGUUCACAGGCUGAUAUCGAGAGCUUUUAGUAGGGUGAUUCGGAUGAUAAGGUACCCGAGCUCUUGGGAAAGAGUGCUAGUUGGCGUUGGUUGGAAUCGGGGUUGAUUGGCGACUCAUUGGUGCCGGGCGGAUCGUGCUUCCGUACCGAGUCCCUCAUCGUCGAUGAGUGGUCGCCCUCCUGCAAAAAUGACCUCCGUCGAGUGGUAUCCAACCGUGACCCCUCCGAUGAGCAAGUUAGUAACGAGAGAGAUUACUUUUUUUCUUUCUUUUUUCUUGCCCUCCUUCUGGUCGGAGGCCAACCAGGGGUCUUAUACUGUGGCGCGAGGGCUGAUGAUGCGUCGAUUCGACGUCUGUUGUUGACCCCCGAGAGAUGGGACGACUCUUCUGACCGAUUGCCGUUUCGGGACGUGCAGAGCAACGUCAGACGGCACCGUCCCGAGCUUCCAAGACAGGACGUGUGACAUAUCUUCUUGGUACGAGCUCCCGGGAUGGGACGGGUGGCGUACGGCUCCGAUUUAGCGUGCGGUGUUAGUGGUGACGUGUCCAGGCCACCAAAAUAUAUCAUAUCAGAUUCGAUUGAAUGCGAUCGGUGAGACAACCAAUCCAACCUUUUGCAAGAUUGGAUUCACCCAGCCGUCGGUUCCGCAGACAAUGUCUGAGGCGAUAAGAGGGUGAGCCCUCCCCUUUGCCCCAACUUUGGGUUGCUCAUCAUCGGCAGAAAUGAUGCAUCUUAGAAAGGCCAGAAGACCAGGUUGCUCUGCUAUUAUAGGUGCAUGGAUUGUAUGGUUGGUGGAUAGACCGAUGGGGCCCUUCGACUGGCAAUCCCAUUGAUGGCAGCAAUAUGACAACAUGGUGUUCGUGGGAGAUAACAUCAUUAGGAGGCUGCAGGUGGAGCUCGGGAACCGGCAUCAUGAGGUGAGACAGGGGAACCCCUCAGCCUCAGCCACAGCAGUGUGUUGCCUUUGGCUGGUGCUACCUUCUUGCGGAAAGGGCAUCUGGCUUUCCAUGGCUGCCGAGAUGUAGAUCUAGUUGUAGAUCACACCGUCAAAUCCAAGCGAUGGCAAUAAUAGAUCCUGCUCAGAGUUCCGGUGAAGAAGAGAAGAAGUGGGUGGUGAACUAUGAUCAUCUCUUUUCAUAGAUUUACUUGCCAUCAUAAAAGAACAACUUUGCAAAUCAUUGAAAGUCAUUUAUGAGUUUUCUUGGUUGGAUGAUUCUGUAAGUAUUACUACACAACAAAAUAUAGAACUAGAACAGCAUUCAGUUUCUGCUGCGUUAGAAAAGAGAAUUGACAAUGAUCAGUAUUUAUUGCUUCAAUGGAGACAAAAAAAAAAGAAAAGGCAACAAAAAAUCAGUGUAGCUGAUCCAAAAUAUUACUUUGCCAUGUCUCUGGCUUCCAAAGGUGGAAGUUUUGACACUUGAUGACAAACUAGUGUUGACUUUAGGUUGACAAUGUAGGUUAGAGUUAGAGGCAAUUCCAAACUCAGUGAACAUGGAUUGGUGGCUUGCUGAAUUGUUGUUGCCUAGAUGGUGAACAUUCUUCUGCUGGCCAUGUCCAUCAAUUAUGGUCAGAGACACCUUUCUUAAACCCUAGUUUUCUUGCCGAGGCCCUCAAAGUGAUGCAUUCCAGCCACAAAGUUCUGAUCCCUCAAUUGCCUGUUCAUGGUGGGAGAAUUUGCCCAACAUGUCCAUGUGAAGGAUUGAGAGUUCUGCCUGUCUUGAGGGUGGCAACUGGUUGUGGUAACUGUCCCUAAGACAAACCCGGUCAAAAGAAAGAUCAAUACUCUCUAUGGUCUAGCACUCACUUUCCACAUAACAAAGGGGACCAAAUGUUGUCAUUUUACUGUUGUGCUGAUAUGGAGACAGGGAAGGAAAUAUUGCAGGCCAUAUGCUUAAUAUCUGUGGAAAUAUUUCUGAUCUUUAUUUGAUGUAACAUGCAGUUCUGACCUACUGAACCAGAAAAUUGUCAUGCUUGAUAUGUAACAGAGGCAGCUGCUAUAGAUUAGACACUUGAAAACCAUCUUUCCAAAUACUGAGGAUGAUACAAGCUUAAGGAUGCAGCUGAUAUGCUUAUUAUUAUGAUUUAGAUGAAACCAUUAAAUUUCUUAUGUAAGGUUUUUUAGUAGAGCACAUGCAAAACCAACACAAGAACAGUGGCAUAAAAACUUGUUGACAGACCUUGAUGUUUGUCCAGCCUUUUUGCACUCAAAACAAGCCUGCAUGACGCACUCUGUUUCUCCCUGCAUCAUGUGAUUUGCUGGUCAUAUCUGCAUCAUCCACAUCUCAAUUAAGAAUGAAACAUCCCACAGGUAGAUUUCAGAAUUUCCAACCCCAGAAUGAAGUCACUAUCAGUUAAUCUAUCAGAAAGCUAGAGAAAUAAAAGACCAAAAGCAUGAUUUAUUUAUCUUCCCCACUACACAGACAAACCAACCUGCAGAGUUCAUACCUUCCCUGGUAGGUUCUUAGAACUAGCCAUACCUUUCUGUGUCACAUUCCAGCUCCAAGUUUCUUUACAUUAAAUAUGGGCAGUAGACAGUGGACCUUCCAAAAGAUCAAAUGGGAGAGAACAAUUUGUGUUGGUAUUCUUUCCAACAAGAGUCUUUUUCAGGAUUGAACUACAGAACUCCUACAGUCCACAUUAAAUAAUUCUUCUUUGAAUUUGAUAUUGUUGCUUAGAUGUGAUAUAGACAAGGAUGAGGUAGCUAACCACCUAACAUGCCCAAACUGAUGAGAAUAGUUUAGUAUAGUUUACCUGUUGACAUCAAAAUGCAACAUCAACCUGGUUGAAGAUGAUUAAAUACAUUCCACCACAAUACUCUUUCAGAUUUCAUACUCUACUAUGAAAUAUCCUUAACCUUUGAUGCACUCAUAAGACCGGCCAUAGUGUGUAUGAGUCAUGAACUAAUGCUUUUUAGGACACACAUUGAAUUGAGAGCCAGUGUUUCUAACACUUAGCCAUGCCCCUGCUGAAGCUUUUUCUUUCAUUUCUUGUUGUAGUCCCAGCAAUGCCAAGCCUUGAGAGAAAGUCUUGAUCCAAACUUAUGUUGUGGUCCAGAGUGUCGGAAAGCUACAGACCACUAGAUGAAACAAAAAAGGAGGGCUCCUAUCUUUAGCUUCACAGAAUUUUCUCCCUGUCUCUUUGCUCCUCCUCACAAACGUGUAUUUAUACCAGUCAAUGGAGGGCUUUUUUCUUUAUUCUUGGGCAAUGAGGUUGAACCUUCACUACCUCAUUCCUGUUGGCUUCAAGCUAGCUUUCAUCAUAGCUUACGUUUGAUUGUAGUUCUUCAACACCAUAACCUGAUCAACCAUUCUUGGCCUCCAAAAAAUCACAAGCUUUGGUUACUUCAUCUCUUUUCUUUUAUGGGUAUUUCACUUGAAGGUGAUGAGGUGAAGACAGUUAAAUAUGCCAAGGCCUAGCUCAUGAUAGGAUUCUUUGGUGAUACCAGUCAUAUGAUUUGGUGGUAGUGAGGACACAAAAAUGGGACAAGAGGAGAGACAACCAUCCAUGUAGCUUUUCAGGUCUGGUUGCAGUCAUCAUGCCCACUUGACUUUAGUUGGUGAGCUGCUCUGUUUGCAGCGAACUUCACCUCAUUCUGGUGCAUGACACACUGGGAAGCCACAGAGCUUUGCAAUUCGAGAAGUUCCAAUUCGCCAGCCAAAUUUUCUUAGUGAUCCCAUUAAACUUUCCACUACAGCAUGCAGGAGGACACAACACACAUGCUAACAUGCAUUCAUGGUUAGUUAACUGCUCAUUUCAUCCAUACACAACUAAUACAGGCUCAGGAAUCAACCCAAAUCCUGUCUGGCUUUCUAUCUUAUGGUAGUGAUAAGGUGCUGAGAAGGAAGGUUGCAGUGAUAUGAUACUGUGAAUGCAUCUCUGUUCUAUCCAAUUGCUUUUCAUCUGAUGUUGCCCUCUUUUCUGAGACUGAAAAGCUUUUCAUCUUCCUGUCUGUUCAAAUUAAUUCAGGUUUUCUUCCACAGUGAGAAGGGGAGAAGGAAAAAGAGGGUGGAAUGCUUCAUCCAGCAAAUUUUCUUGGUGAUGUGGUCUCUCACUGACCUAUCUGUGGGGACUAUGGAUGGUCUCUCUCACUACAUAUGGUCGAUAAGAAACCAUAUCAUCCAGUAGGUUUUUCCAGGGUGAUUCAAUCAAACUAAGUAGCAGUGUUCAAGACUGGAUGGAGAGUUGGGAGCCCAUCAUCUUCAGGCACACACCUGACGAGAUAGAGAGACGAGGAUGACAUCAAAUGUAAAUGACAGGCGACGUCUGAAAGGCCACUCCCAAACGUCCCAUAAUCUCAUACACCUAAUCAUGUGCACCUUCACCUGCGAAUCCAAUCUCCCAAAGAAAACCAUGGCCGGUCAUCCAUCAUAUCAGUCUAAAAAGUAGAACUCAUCCCUCUCUCACUCCCUCAAAACACACACACACACCCACCCACCCCCAUAGAGAGAGAGAGAGAGAGAGAGAGAGAUGGUUCCUGUCAGCUCAGAUGGGAGAGUGCUGUCUGACAGGAGGACAUGAAUAGAGACUGAAACCGAGCAAAAUAAGAAGAACAAACAUCUAAAAAAAAUGAAGAUCUGACUGAAUAAUUAGCCAACCCAUGGCUUUUAAAACCAUGUCCUGAUGCUUUUGAGAUUUCUAAUGGAAUUGUACCACCCUGCUGCCAUUGCUCUUUUGUUUAUGCUGCUAGUUGUCUUCAAGAGAUCGGUGUUGCCACUGCUGUCGUGCCUAUUGGGUCGAGUGAAUCCUGAGCACAACUUUCCUUGCGUUUGCGGUGUUCCUGAUCUAAAUUCUAAAGAUUUUUUGCCGGACGACGGCGUACCAAAAUCUUGCCACCGAUGUUUCCUCCACCCCAUGAUCCAAAUUCCGUGUACAUGUCAUGCCAAAAUGUCCUGAAACCCAAGAACAUAGCAGAAUUUUUCGAAGCACAGUGUUAACAUCACAUACUGAAACACACGAAAAAGCAUCCUUCCUUUUCUUGUCUCGCUGCUACUACUCGUCCUGUCAAUUGCACCACUUCUCUUGUCUUUAAUCUUCAUGUCUUCUCCCAGGAAAAUCUCUCUCAUCGUGCUUCGACGACUGUUUGUUGGUUAUGUCUGAAGUGAGCAUGCACAACCACAAUGGAAACCCGGGAAAUUGGAUACAGUGUGAUCUAAGGACAGAGAAAGGCCUAUAAAAACUGUUCCAAACACUGUGAUGAAAAGAACGGCCUGGAGAAACCCUAUCUACACACCAAACAGAGAAGACAAAGAAGGGAGAAUCAUGUAUACUCACCAGUACUGGUGCUACAUAUGUCACAUGCAUUAGAAGAAAAAGCAGCGAGAGCUCUUCUUCGUCCUCCUUCUCGACCUAACUACAACGCUCUUCCCUAUCUCCUAAUCAGAAUAAUGAAUCCAUGACUCCACCAUGCCCUCGCCUCUCGUUGCCACGACGCUCCCCGAUACCUUGUCCCCGGUAAACUCCGAGGGGGGCCCCGAAGCCGAGUAGUUCGGCUUCCAACCGCUGCCGACUCGUAGUUGUGAGUCCAAGAAGUCAUCGAUGGCGGCUGGCCUCAAGUGCGCUAGAUCAGCGCCGCCGUCCGUCCAGCUCGAAUGCAAUGCUUCGGACCCGAUAAGCCCUGGCGGAAGACCGCCGAGCUCAUGUGCUUUGUACGCGUCUGAGGGUGUCAUGUGCAGCUUUGCGUUGUAGCUUGCCGCUAUGGCGGGAAGAGUGUACUUUGCUUGGAGUUGUGAGGGUUGGAGGAGGUUUUGGAAGUUGAGGAUGGGGCUUUGGUGGCUUACAAGAGGUUGCCUUUGGCCUCCGGCAAGACCAAGAUCAUGAGAAGGUGACCGGUAGUUAGAGUCAUCAGUAGGAAUUUUGGUGUUGGCACUAGCAGCAGCAGUGUUGGUGGUGCUCAAAGGACGAGGAGGUGGAAGAGAAGAGAUGGGAUUAGCAGUAAAGGAGGGAGGAGCUUGGAGUUUCUUGGGUAAGGGACGGAGGAGGAAGUGGGGAGGAGGCGCGUCAGCGGGGUAGUAGAGGUCGAAGCGAGAUCGCGCGAAAGGGGACGUAGAGGCGACGGAGAAGGGAGGGGAGGGUAUGCCGGUGAAUUCUUGGACCAUGGCGCGGAAGUUGGAGGUGUCGGUGGUGAGCACGGUGGUAGGGGCCCGUCGUGAGGCCCUGGAGCGCUUCUUCGAGCUCCUUGGCGCCGCCGCCGCUGCAGCGGCGCCGAUGGGCUGCUCGAGUUGUGGUUGCAUCGACGACGACGACAACAGGCUAGUAGCCACGGGAUGGGCCCCGAGUGAGGCUGCUGCGGCGGUGGCGGCGGUGAUGCAAUUGGAGGAGCUGGGGAUGAGGUGGCGUGGCCAAGGGGCGGUGGUGGAGGAGCCGAUGGGAAGGAGCGGGGCUGAGGAGUCCAGGUAGGGGAGAGAUGAGUCGUCGAAGAAGUGGUGGCCGUCGUAGGAGGAGGAGAGUGGUGGUGGUGACCGGGAAGGCGGGAGGGCGGCGGCGGCGGCUGGUGGGGAGGAGUGGAAGAAGGCGGAGAGGGAGUCGACGCGGCAGUCGAAGUCGUCGUCUCCGCCGCUGGAGGACUGGAGGCUGCUGCUGUUUCCUGAGUCCAUAGCAGGUGUCCAGGAUAACGAGAGGAGGAAACUGCAGAGGAGUCUUCUUGGCUAAACUGCAGAGGGAACAGCAAAGAUGGAGCUGAAACUGCUCAUUCUUCUGAUAUAGUAGCACGGGAAGCAAAAGUGCAGAAGCACCGCCAACAGCAUAGAAAAAGUAGCCUCUCUUUUCGAAAGGAUCAAUAGAACUUAGGACACAGCAUUCCAGAAGAGAGAGAGAGAGAGAGAGAGAGCGAGCGAGCAAAUAAUCUGUGGUGGCUUUCAGACUCGAAAGGUGGAGGACCGAUCAGCCAUGGGCUCUGCGGGAGGAAAGGAGGAGAGAUCGUAGUAGUGGUGGAGCA
rnacentral:lncRNA from 1 species